rnacentral:lncRNA from 1 species
UGCUUGAUGCUAUGAAUAUGAUCAAGUGGCAGAGUUUCAACUUCCCAACAGAUGUGAUGUUGAGUGGCCAGAGACUAGACGUGGCUACGCAACUAACUUCAUUCCCAAAAGACUCGACUAUGUUCUACUCUUUUGAAGUUCUACGCGACAAGAUUGCUCUAUUCCUCAACUUGGACAAGCUCAAGUACUCUUACUGGGAGUACAAACCUAUAGAGAACAAAACAGUCAACUUCUUGAGAUUAGGGGCAAAGGGUCUUGACAUAUUUGAUGAUAACAGCCAUAGAAUAGGGAGAAUAGAGCAACCUUUGACCAGGUUCUUGGCUAUUGGAAACAUAACCGGUAAUCUAGGUCUUUACUCGUAUAAACCGGACAAGGGAAAGUUCGAGGCAACGUUUCAAGCUUUGAGCAACACGUGUGAUCUUCCUGUAGCGUGUAAACCAUAUGGAAUCUGCACAUCUUCCAAGUCUUGUUCUUGCAUUAAAGUUAUGAGCAAUGGAGACUGCAACAGCAACGAGGAGGAAUGGCUUUCGAUGAAGAGGCUAUGCGAUCACGAGAUGGUUGAGCUAGAAGGAGUCACGACGGUGCUGAGAAACGGUACUGAGGCGAGGAACGUGAGCAAAGAAAGAUGUGAGGAGUUGUGUAAGAAAGACUGUGAGUGCAGAGGGGCGAGUUACUCUGUCUCUGAAGAGAGUUGUGUGAUGUAUGGGGUUGUGAUGGGUGUUAAGGAGAUUGAGAGAGAGAGUGGGUUGAGUUAUAUGGUGAAGAUACCUAAAGGAGUGAGGUUGAGUGAUGAGAAGUCUAAUGUGAGAAAAUGGGUUGUGGGGUUAGUUGGAGGGAUUGAUGCUCUGGUCAUAUUGCUGCUUCUGUCUGGUUUUGGUUUUUAUUACAUUAGGAAGCGACGGAAGAGCUUAUCACAGCCACAGCCACAGCUUCAGGAAGAGCCCAUUGCAGAAUAGAUUUUCAGAGUUGUUGCACAUGCAAACUUUGAUACCAUUUUAUAGGUUGACAUAUAAAAAAAAAGUUGUAAUGUAUUGAGAUCAAAUUGUAGAAAAUUUUAUUUUUUGAAGUUUAUAUUCCAUAAAAAAAUGAGUUAUAUGGUGAAGAAAGUGAAAAUGAAAGCAGAGGAAAUGGUAGUGGUCAGAAGAUAGGAGGAGGUCAUCAGUAUACACUGGUUCUUGAAAAGACUAACAAUGGAAGAGAUAGAAGUGCUGAAGGGAAGAAAAAUGGUGUGAAAAACCACAAAAAUUAAACUCAAGAAACUAGAAAUUAGAGAGGAAACAAAACAUCUUUAUUCAAAUUUUUUUCUAUCAAUGAUGUGAAUAAUAAUUUACAAAUCCUUAGAUCCUUAUUUAUAAUCCUAAAAAAAUGAUUUUCUUUUUACCUAAAAAAGAAUUUCUAGAAGUUAUUUGUGAAGUUUUGAACAAAGAGAACAAGAACAAUAAGAAUGAAGAUAAUUUGAACUUAAAAUAGAACACAUAACUGUUGUAAUAACAGAUUGGUUUCUUUUUCUUUAAGAACUCGUACAGCUUCUGUGUUCUGACUUUAUCAAGGGAAGAUCAAAACAAAAGAGAUUUCAUUCAUCCAAUUCCAGCUCUCAGUUGAUAAAACGUAAAGGAACCAAAAAUAAAAUAGUUUUUAAGUUGGGAAUAUUCGAAUUAUCAAGGUGACGUGGAGGGAUAAUUGCUUGUCGUUAGAGAUAACUUCUCUUCAUUAUUAUUUGACCUUCUCUGCUCUUAUCAUAACGCCAUCUCGACCAAUUCUCGACGGAUCUGCAAACUCUUUUUCAUUCCAUCUCCUUCCUCUCUGUCGAUUUUUCAGACAAAAGGUAAAAGCUUUCUCUUUUAAAUCCCCGGUUGAAUCUUCUUUUGGAUCUCAGAAGGUAAAGAGUCUUACACUUCGAAUCUUCUAACCUUUCCCCAGGAUUAAUAUCAAUGGGACCCAAAGCUGGAACCUUUGUUCUUUUCUUGCUGGGUUUGACCUUUCUUUCUGACGCUAGAUCCUUCCUUCACCCCACCCUCUCAGGUAACUAAUCUCGAGUAAAACACCAUCUCUACUCAUGCUUGAUUGAUUUGCACCUUAAAGUUCAGCUUUUUAAAUGAAAGAGUUGGCUUCUAUGGCUUCGGCUAGACAUUAAUUGAAUAUUUCAAUCUCGUCAUCCCUGUAAGAAUGGGUUUAGAUAGUGUAAUGAAAGCUCUGGAUGGUCUUAAAAAUCUCAAAAGACUUUUCUUUUUGCGCAGAGGAAGUUACCAAGAAUGAAAACGUUUGCACUCUUUGUGAGGAGUAUGUUACCUCUGCCCUCACCUACCUUGAGAAAAACGAAACACAGACUCAGAUACUAGAGGACCUUCAUGAUCGGUGUUCCCUUAUCCGCGGAUUUGAGCAGCAGGUUUGUUUCUGUUUCUGUUUCUUCUGUGUGUUAGUAUAUAAUAGUAACAAAAGUGUGUUUUGAAUUUUGAUGCAGUGUAUAACUUUGGUUGACUACUAUCUCCCUCUGUUCUUCUUGCAUCUCGAGUCCUUUCAACCUCAUUAUUUCUGCAAGAGGAUGAAUCUCUGUGGUCACGUCGUUGCUCUUGUUAAAGAAGCUCGUCAGGAUACUUGCGGUGUUUGCCACAGGACUGUUUCUGAGAUUCUCAUCAAACUACAAGAUCCUGACACACAGGUUUAGUAGAAACUAGUAGUAACUACAAGAUUUGUGUAGUUGAGCCUUACUGACUUUGUUUUCUGUUUGAUUAUCCAGCUGGAUGUAAUUGAGCUGCUUCUUAAGGGAUGCAAAUCGUUCAAAAACUAUGAAUACGAGAAGAAGGUUAGGAUCCAAUAUUUAAGAAUUCAAUUGCAUGAUCCUAGUAGUUAGCGUAGGCUUUUUCUCAUUUUUUAAAGUCUUGUUGUGUCUUAUGUUGUGACAGUGCAAGAAGUUGGUGUUCGAGUAUGGACCUUUGAUCCUCGUAAAUGCAGAGGAGUUUCUUGUGAAAAACGACAUCUGCACACUCUUACGCGCGUGUCCGAACAAGCAAACGGUUCUAAGGCUGCCAGGGUUGGCGGAUUCUUGAAUGCUUUAAAACGGUGGUGGUGGUGGUAGGAACACAAAAAAGUUGCUCGUGUAUUUGUCCAUAAGAAUUUGUCCCAAAGGCUUUGUGAACUUGGAUUUAGACACAAGACUCUCCUUAAAAAACUGUUUAUUUUGCGUUUUGUGUAAAUAAUGAUCGUUUGCUACAAUUGUAUCUACAUCACCAUCUGCUUGUAUUUUACCAAAAUAUACUCUUUUUCUUCUUUUUACUCUCACGUUUCUUUGUUCCAUGUUUUAACUUGAUUUUUUUGUUGCCUUCACAACAUUUAUAGAUAGAUUUAUUUAACUAAAAGUUAUUUAUUUGUUGACGUCAAAAUUAAAAAAGAGUUAUUUAUUUGUUUUUGAUUGAAGAGCUGAAAAAUAGACAAGAGAAGUGCAUGAUGGAUUCAAGUUUAGCCUGGACUCUGGAGAAGAUUUCAAAUUCACAAAGAAGCCAAAAAAAAACAAAACAAAGAGUUUCUCUAAGAGAACUGAGAAGCACAAAAAUCACAAGUCCUAGCAACAGAGACGAUGGAAAUGACGUGUGGUUGAAGUCUUCUUCAGUCAAUCACAGAGUGGAUCAGCAUGGAUGCUUCCCCUGUCGUUGGAACUUCAAUAUCGUCUGCUUUUUACAACAAAUAAGGUUCUUAUUAUAAUUAAAAACCAAGUUAAUUAACUACUUCAAAUCCUUUUCAAACCUUGAAAGCUUACACUAUUUCUUUUAAAAGAUUCAACGCUAAACAUCUAGAUUUCACAGAAGCAUCCAACUAAUUACAGGAGUGAAGACUGAAGAGACACUAUAUGGUGAAUACUUUCCACAAAUGGAACAUGUAAGCCGAAUCCUAAAUGAGAAAUAGACAUACGCCUAGUGUCAGGACCAAAUAUGGAGUUUAUGUCUUGAAACUGAACAAAGGCGUACCUGGCAGAUGAGAAAUAAUAUUUUCCAAGAUUCCAGCACCUGAACUCUCUUUCUUCUUCUCAUGAUCUUCAUCUUCACAUUCAGAUUUUGGCAUGUUUUCACCAGAUUUGUCGUUUACUGUUGUUGUUGUUGUACCAAUCAAGUUGGAUAUCAGAUUGUUCAAAACCCCACCAUAACCAUUAGCUCCCUUCUCUUCCUCUUCUUCUGUUUUUUGUUUGAUACGUGAGAGGUUGUCUGCUUCUGGUAAUCCCUCUUCCAUUUUUUCCUUAUGGCGGUGUCAUUAUACACCUGGUUAAAGUAACCUCUUUAUCCAGCCAAAGCACUGAAUAAAUAAAUGGACUAUGUUUUGUAUUGAAUCAAGUACAGUGUUAACAAACAUUGUAUAUAUCCAAAAGAAAGACAAUAUGUUUAUCCAAAAAGGGUCUGAGAUAAUCCUGAAAGACACGACACGUCUACUAUUCGAGACAAGUAGCCAUGUACUUCUUACACGUACCUCGUAACUUGUAGUGUACGGUGUACCCAUAUAUUACAUUACACAUGUCCUCUAAAGAUUGAUAUUUUUAUCUCAUUACACACACAUCCCUUGUGCCAUUCUUAACAUUUUGUAAGAAUAAUUCUAAUUCUUAAACAUUAGACUAGUACAUGUUAUUCGGUGGUUAUAGGGAUUUGUUAACAUGUGUUUGAACUCUCAGAGAUUUAAGGUUUUUUUUCAAGUUGGCUAAAAGGCGUUAUGUUUAUACAUGAUAGUGUUAUUAACCACCUUAAUAUAAUAGUCUAACAACAAGAACUUUACUUAAACUAGUUAUCUUUUGUAAUAAACUUUGGUUGCGAAAAUGCGUUGUUGACUCCACAAAUCCUGUGCUUAGUGCUCCAAGGCAGCAACAACACAUGCAAGCCACAAGCUUUCGGUGAGAAACAAGAUUGCUUCACCGUUGCAGUCAAAUAAGAGAGGCUCUUCUUCUUCCUCUGGCUAGCCGCUGAUGUUACGGCUGCUAGAGCCGCUACAUCCGGCAGAAACUGCUCUAUUAUGUAGCUUGACGAUAUGUCUUCGCUUCUCUCUGUGCUCGCCAUAGUUGAGAAAUAGAUAAGCAGAAAAGGUUAACUCUCAAACCAUGUGGUUGUAAAAAAAAAAAAAUUAAUAAUAAUAAUAAAACCAAAAGAAUAGCUUAACCCAAGAUGUUGGAAAUGUAAAUGAAUAGUAUCUUUGUUUUCUUGUUUCACGAGGAUAAAAAAACAUCCCUGGAUGCUUUGAGAAUCAAUACAAGAAGCAUCUAAAAGUGGAGAAAGUUACAGAUACAAUUACAUAAUUCCAGUAAAGGAAAAAAAAAAGAAAGAAACAAUAAUACAUGUAGAAAUAGGACAGUAGAAGAAGUCCAGUUUCACCAGAGGUAAAGUUCUUCUUUCUGGUUUCCCCUUUUAGGUCAAGAAAACGUAUUACCUUUAGCAGCAAGAAACACUCUUUGCUCUGCUAUAGUAUCCCCACCUCCCCCCCAAUAACCAAAAUUAAAGAAAAAUAUAGUUUAUAAGAGUUUCUAUUUACAUGGCUAUGCUUCAUCUUCAUCUUAUUCUUCUCUGUUCACUCAAGCCAAACCUUGUUGUUAAGGAUAUGAAACAGUGUAGAAGCAUACCAGGAGGUAAGAAGAGAAGAGACUUGCCCACCAAACAAAAUGGUAGUCUUGUUCUACUUUUGGUCGGUAGCAUUUGUUUCACGAGCUUUGUGGUAGAGAUCGAGUGUAUCAGCAUGACUUGGAUCAAUACACAAUGCUGCUUCACAAUCUUUGAUAGCAGAUGCUCCCUCUCCCAUGGAAUCAUAAAACGCUGCCCGUAGAUGCAACAGCUGCAGAUCUGGUUUAAAUGAUAUCGCCUUCGAAAGCUCCUCUAUAGCUUCAUUUUCUUUAUGGUCGUCCAUAAGAACUGCAAACCAAGACUUCAAGUAUAAAACAAAACCAUCAUCAUAUCAUUCUAGCUUUUGUAAUUAGCGGUACCUGCAGCUCUGUAUCUGUAAGGAUAAGUACGGAGAGGGUCUAGCUCUGUAGCCAGGCUAAGGUCGCUUUGUGCCAUUUCGCGGUCACAAUACUCAGAACGCUUCUCGUACGCCGACGCAUUGUUCUGAGCCUUCUCUAUCAGCUUUGUCAUCUCAUCAUAAGCAGCUUUACGCUGAUUUUUCAGAUGAUAAACACGAGCAAGGCCUUGGUGCGCUCGUGUGUGCUUGAUGUUGAGCGCGUUCGUGUAGCAAUCAGCUGCAAGAUCCAGCUUAUCACAGUCCACAUAUACGCUCCCCAGGUUGUUCAAAGCCUGCAAGAAGCAAAAACGCACCAAAUAAAAAACUCUGCGACCACCUUCGAGUAAUCAACAAUUUUUUUAAUACUUACUUGUCCCUUACGGAGAGCAUCAGAGGGGCAACGAAGUGCUUCUUCAAGAAGCUGGAUAACGUACUCCGAGGACUUGGGGUCGAGCGUAGAGUCUGCGAGGGCGUAAGCUUUGAGAAAAAACACUUCGAAAGAUCUUUGAAUCGAAAUAGACUCCUCAGCUUUAGCCAAGGCUUCUUCACGGUGGCCAGUAUCAUACAGUAUCCAUCCUUCAUACACAAGUCUCUCAUGCUUCAACUUUGAAUGGUUUCUAGCCAGCCUUAGACUCCGCAUCGCUGCCUUUUGACAAUUUAGCCUGUCAAGUAAUGAAAACCAAUCACCUCGUUAAAAUAAAAUAAAGAGUUCACUGAGAAGCGUUGAUGAGAGAGGUUAUACCGUAGCAGAAGAAGAGACUGUCUGAACCGCAAAAGACUAUUCCCAGGAUCAUGUGCAAGCAUAUCAUGAACAACUGCUAGAGAUCCAAUAUCAUCCACAGAAGACCAGUGAUCAAACAGCUGCAUCCAGCAAUCAGCUUGGCUUCUCUGAUGAGCCAGAGGACGGAGCAGCUCCACCAUAUGAUCACCAUGGAUCUUACCGUUAAACAUCAUAAAGUUGGGCUCCAAGGUCAGAAGCGCGCGGAUAUCUUUCAAAGCACCCUCGUAAUCCUCCUUGCCUAUAGAAACCCACGCCCUCAUCUCCAGACAGUCAGGAGAGGCCUUGAAUCCAAGAACCUUGUUCAGCUCCGAGAUGGCAGCGUUAAACUGAUUCUCCUCCACCAACGCCACUGCUCUAAACUUGUAAGGGAACGUCAGAGUCGGGUCUAACUCGGUUGCUGUAUCCAAAUCAAGCAGCUUCUCUUUACCGCUGCAGUACAAGGACCUCUCCUGGUGCAUCCACCCGGUAGCCGCCUUGUGAUCCGAGAUCAGCGAGUUGAUGAUCUUGUAAGCAGAGUAUCUGUGAUCACGCUUGAACUUAGACCUAGCUACCCCCACGAGGGAGUAAAGAUGACCUGCCUCGACCGCUGUGUUGAACGCUCUCUGAGCGUCUUUAUACUCUUUCCUCUCAAGCAUCACAACGCCUAGCUGGUGGUAGGCGAGCUGCUUCUCCCAACUCUCCACCGCGCAUUCGACCAAACGCUCCAAUAUCAUCACGGUCGUGUUGGACUUCGUAUCGUCUUCCAUAGCAAUCUGGCUUAAGAAGAAGUACAACGCAAAAGAAGCGUGGCCGAGAGACGCCAACCUCUCCCUUCCCUCAACGCUGCAGAAGAUCUUUAUAACGUUAGGGUUAUGCAUAGAGCUCGGCAGCUCCCUUAGGAAAACCUGGAGACAAGCCGCCACGAGAAGGUACGCAGACUCUUCUAAUCCAUACUCAAUCAACACCAUCGCCUCGUCAAGAGUACUAACGAGACGCGCCAAAUGCGUAUCGCAACAAGACUUCAACUCAUCGCAGCAGAACCUAUUCGCCAGCUUGAGCAGCUCCAAGACAACGUUAGGAGGAAACUCAUCUAGCCUCUUCGUCCUGCUGAACACCUCCGCAGCUCUCAUCCCUUCCACAGAGACUCCGUUCUGCGUGAAGCUGAUCGUCCCAAGCUUCGUUUCUCUAAACCCUCCGUACAGCAUAGCCUCGAAAGGUCUAGACAAGGAAGCUAUCUUGUAACGCACGCAACGAACCUCCUCGUCGCCUAUACAAAAGGACAUAUCAUACUCAAACGCAAACGCAAACGCUUCAUCAGAAGUCGAACAUUCAGCAACACCGUUUGAUCCGGAGCAUCGACACGGAUCGUAAACGGUUACCGGGUCAUACCCGGGGACAAGACUCGCCUUCGGACAUUCUAAAUUUCUCCCGCAGCAAUCCAUAGAGCAGGUUCCUAUCAACUCGUCCUCCCUCCUCUCGAACCUAAGCCACGAAGACAACACGACCUUCGCGUGGACGUCAACAGCGUGCUGCCUCGAUGACCGGAGACUCCGCCGGAAAAGCUUCGGAUCGGACAAGCCUCGGAAGACGGCGCAUUGCUCUAAAAAGGCUCCGGAUCUCUCGAGAUUCGUGGAGGCGGCGACGCGGCGGUAGACCUCCGCCAUCUUCUCCACCAAGUCGGGGAAUUUUAAGGAAGGAUCGAUCUGAGGCUCGAGGAGGUCGGUGACGGGGAGGCCGUAAGGGAGGAGGAGGGAGGAUUGGUGGUACGUGCGGCUUGAUUUGGAUCGGAUUGAGUUUACGCGGAGGUGGUCUUGAAGAUGCUGGAGAAGCUUGUCACCGACUCCUCCUCCAGGCGGAGGGUUGAGAGCGUAGACUUGCGUGCCUUUACAACCUUCGGCAAGUUUUAAACUUCGCAUCGUGGUGAAUGGGUUGUGAUGCAUCUCUUUCAAUUGAGCGGAAACCCAGAUCGAAAUGGAUAGGCUUUCGGAUUCAUGUCAACGGGUUACGAAGAUCUGAGAUGUGGGUUUCGGUCAAAAGUAACGAAAUGGUUAUAAAAAUGUGAUCUUUCGUCACGAAAUUUGAAAAAAGUUUAACGAAGCUCGCGCUUGCUUGCUUAUCCUUCUUCUUCUACGUCGUCGUCUUCGCAGAGAUUGUUUUUUUUUUUGGCAGUGUCUUCUCUCAGGUUCGUUUAUUCUUUGUUGCCACUAAUUUACGAAUCUUUCCGUAAAAAUAGAUAGAGAGAAAGAGGAAGAUUCUUCCUCCGUUCGACCGCUCUCUGUUUUGGUUUUUUGUUUUUUUUUCUUACCCUUUAAUUCGUUUCUAAUAAUAAUGUAAAAAUUUAAUUAGAUUGCUCUUUAAUUUAUGUGUAUUUGUGGCAUCUUUUUUUUAUUCGAAUGUUUUUCGCUUUUUUGCCUUUUUAGUUUUUUGUCCUCUUGUUAGCUUUUUUGAAAGUAAUUGAUUAGUUUAUCUCCAUUUUAUUAGUUUAAACUCUAAUUAUCCUCUUCAUCUAUAAGUUAAAGACGUUAUCAGUGAUGUAAACGAGGGAAUGGUAGACUCUCUUUCUCUCUUUGAGAGAUAAGAGAAUCACAGUGGUUCUUUUUUCAAACAAUGGGUAUCGUCUCUGGUAUACGGUAGUCUUUUUGAUGGUAUGUAGCCGACUUUGUUUCUGGUAGUUCGCGCUCCUUUUAGCGGAACUAUCCGACGUUUGUAUCAUGCGUUGUAACUCUGAUGGAGUUGCAAGUUGUCUUUCGGGAUCCAGUAAAGCUCCAGAGCCGUACGUCUUCGAUGGGGGUGGCUGGCUAAAGUAUCAGAUGAUCGGGUUGGUGUUGUUUGGUUUCCUCGGGAGUGCUGGGUUCGUUAUGGUGAUUGUGAACCUGAGCUUGGAUGAGAUCUCGAUUACAUUCGGUUGAAACUCUCUGUCGCUCAGGCAUACAGUUUGAAAAGGCUGAUUCCAUUAAACCUCUAAUACAGUCGUUGGAGGCGGUUUCGGUGGCUCUAGUUAAAGUCCCAGUGAUUCCGGUGUUAAAGUGAUUUGGUUUCUCUCUGGUGAAGAUUUGUUUGUCGGUAAAGACGGUGGGCCUCAAGUUUUCGGUGUGAUUCCGGAUGAGGGUCGUUUAGCGGUUCCAGUGGAGAGGGGGAGGUGUCCAGACCUUUGCCACGUGUUUCCUCGUUCUUGCGCGAUCCCACACGUGGUGGAAAAGGAGGUCAAAGUUUGGGCCGAAUCUUUUUUCGUUCUGAGCUUUUGUAAAUUGGUUUGGUUUUAUGGUUGGGCUUUUGGACCCCUGUGUUUUUGGCUUUGCCCUUUAGGCAUCAACUCUUAUAAAUAAAACUAGACGAAAAAAAAGAGUUAAAGACGUUAUCAUUUUUUUUUGACAACAUCAACUAAAAAACUAACUAGAAACUCCAAGCAGUCUAGCAAGCCAAACCGGUGGGAUUGAAUCGACAUAAAGCAAAGCUGAAGGAGAACUUCUCGCACCGCGUGCAAGCUUGUCCGCCAAGGUAUUUUGUGCUCUAAGGAUAUGUCUGAUCCGAAAGUGAGGGAAGAAAGUCUUAUUGCGGUUGAAUUCUUCUAUGUAUGCAGAGAAAGCAUGCCAUUCAUCAUGUGUCGACACCAUCUUCACCAACUGAGAACAAUCCGUCGCAAACACUACGUCAGAAACUUGGAGGGUCUUCAUACAUUCCAUUGUCCAAAUUAGUGCUUCAAACUUAGCAUGCAAAGGUGACAGACUUCUACGAAGAUUUAUUGCCCCCAUCAUGACAUCAGUCGAGCCACUCUUUCUGCAAAACCACCCUUAUCCCGUAAAUAUGUCUUCCUCUUUCCAAGCUCCGUCAAUAUAACAAACUCUAGAAACUUCCAGGGCUAGGGCCGCAGAUUGUUGUAAACUCCCACUUAGGCAUGGGCAAUCGGGUGACCAUUCGGGUUCGGAUCGGUUAUAAUCGGGUUUCGGUCUUUCGGGUUUACAAAAAACAGUCCCAUUCGGUUUUUAUAAAAAUUCAGGUCGGUCUCGGUUCGGGUUUUGUCGGGUUCGGGUCGGGUUUGAGAACACAUCCUAAACCCGGUUGAACCCAUUUAAUUUUCGGGUUAGGUUCUAAACCGGGUUUCGGGUAUCCCUAUUUCUCAUAAUACCUGAAAGUUCUCAUUUCACCCGAAGGUCCCAUACACCUGCGUUUUAUUUCAUGGACCAUUUACAAACAAUGUAACGCUUAAAAGGACAAUACAAAGUAAAACACUUGCAGACUCUAUUAGGAAAAUACAAAGUAUCCACACCUAUCUGGUGUUUCAUAGUUCUCGUAUUCAUCUCCAUCUUGAUUCUCAGCUCCACUGUUUCGUGUGUUCUUAGAUGCCGAUGAAUUCAUCUGCUAAGAAGUGACAAACAAUAGCCAGAUUAAACAAAAUAAGCUAUCACAUAAACAGCUCUCAAAGAUGUUUUGGAACAUGAAAAAAAAAACGAAACAUCAACAUCAUCACAUACACAUGAACAAAACAAUCAUCUUUAAGCAAGAGUCAACAUAAAUAAAACGUCACUGUUUAUAGGAAAAUGAAACAAUUGCAGACGAUAAACAAAUAUACAUUAUGCUUUUGUCAUAAGUGAAACUAAAAACAAUCUUAAUUCAAGUAGACAAGAAUUAUACAUAACACUUACGGGUUUGUCUCAAACUCUCAGUUUCAGUACAAAAAUUCAUAGAAAAAACCAUCACUAAACAUGAACAUCACCUAAGUCUAUGAAUUAAGAACAUAAGACGUCAUUCUGUUCAUAAAAAAAAAGCUGAAUAUGAACCCGACAAACCCGACAAACCCGAAUGACCCAGAAACCCCACAACAUCUAGCCAUUACUCGAUUGCAGAGAAGAGGAGGAAGAGUAUCUCACCUCUUAGUGAUUUCGUCGAAGGAGGAGAGGAGUUUUGGUGUUUUGUACCUCGGUGAGAGCGUAACUUAUAUAAGAAAGGAGAUUCUAGGGCUUGCAAAUCGCACAACUGAUUGGAAUAGAAAUCGGAGAGGAUAUGUUUAGGAAAGAGGAUCAUGAUAUAGGGAAAUCUCGAUCUUUAGGAAGUUAUGGUGAAAUUCUCUGAAAAUUUUAACAGGAUCAAAUGAAAUCAGAAAGGGGAAACAAUGAAAUCCUAUACCUAGGUAGCUUGAUGCUCGGGUACCCAUUUACCCGAUCGGUUUGGUGCUAUUUACCCGACCCGACCCAUAACCCAUUAUACCAAAAUUAUGUGAUCAUUCGGUUAUUUUUCAAGAUCCGAACCCGUUCGGUUGAUCGGGUUCGGUUUUAAUGCCCUGGCCUAUUCCCACUAUAGGAAUUCUCCACAGGAACAUUCACGGUUAACUGUGCCUCCAUCCAUAUCUUACUUUCCACAUCGGUCAUUUGCAAUAUCUCAUGUGGAUUGCCAUUUUUGUUUGAAUAAAUCUUGUUAUUUCUAAUCUUCCAAAUAUAUUAUAAUAUCCAUAGAUAAUAAUUAAAAAAAAUUAUUUUGGUAGUCUCCAUAAUAGAUCAUUUAUAUUUGUGAAAAUGGACAACGAUGGAAAGAUCGCUGGAGAAGAAAGAAUCCUAGAAAGUGUCCUUGUUUAUAAAGCUGGAGGACACUCGAAGAGUACUUGAUUCCUCUUCUGGUCCACACAUACUACACCGUGUAUCACAAACAAUCUCUCCAAUUGUAAAAAAUUUUAAAACUGGUAGCGUAUCACAAAAAAAUUACCACACAAAAUAUCUUAGUUUUGGAAUAUACUUCAGUUUCCAAGAAAAUACGUUAUCAUCAACUGUAGUUUUCUUUAUUUCUUAGAUUUCGCCGCACUUUUUUACAAAUCCAAAAAGUUGAAGAUAAAUCUUAGCUUACUUGUUGACAAAAAAAAAUCUUAGCUUACUCGUUACAAAUUAUAUGACGAAUGAGCAUUGGACUCACAAUAUUUUAACUUUAGUAACGACUAAUGAUCUUUUAGCAACACAUUUAUUUUUAAUCAAUAUUUUCAGUGAUGUUUUCAGUGAUGUUUUGCCUUAUAUUUUUAUAAAAUUAGCAAGUUUUAUAUUUAGUUGCAUAAGAUAAUCGUAAUAGUUACACCUGGCAUGGUUUUUCUCUUUGUCAUAUAAAUAUAAAAAUCACUAAAUCAGUUAUCUGUUAAAAUCUGUUAAAACCACAAUCUCUUGUAUAAUUUUUUCAUUCUUCGACCAUUAUAAUUCUUGUCUGCUAGUCGGUCAGACCAUUAUUAAAUUCGGAAAAGGAACCACCAUAAAUCUGUCAGAAUCUUCCACAAAAUUUCUGCAGAGAUUCGUCGUUAUCACAUACCGGUGUGGGUAUCCAUAAAACAAAACUAUAUAAUUUGCUGUAUAUUCCUCAAAACUGAUAGUAUUACAAAAUGUAGCAAAUAUCGUAAGAGUAUUUUUGAAUAAAAUAUUUUAUGACAGAACAUAACAAAUGGCGAGAACAAAGAAUGAUUAAAUGUGCUGUAACAUAACAGGCAAAUAGCUGAUGGCACCCACAUUGAGCGGAGAAGUCAUGUCAACACGUUUUACUGCUAAUUGUUAUAUCUAUAUGCUUAAGGAAGUAGUUGUAAUUAAAUCUUGGACUCUAUUGCUGGUGAUUAGUUUGUGUGAUGGCAUAAGAAUAUUAUAAAUAUAUAUGGAACAUAAUUGAGAUGAGAAUGAAACAACAAUCAGGUCAUGUGGGUGAGACAGCUAAGAAUGUCGUUUGUGUAAAGAAUGGAACUGUUAUCCAAAAAAAGCACGGAUCGUACUACAUUACCCACCAAAAUUCACUUGUCUAUUUCUCUAUGUCCCACCUUCUAUUUCACACUUACGCUACAAUAAGAGAUGAAUUUAGAUAACAAAAAAAAAGAAAAAAGAAAAAGAAUUUAGAUAACAAACUAAUGUGUUGUUUGAUUGUCUGUUUGGAUACUCAACAUCCAUAGGCCCAUUCAUUUGAUCAAACGGUCCAUCAUAUUCAAAUGGGUUAACCCAAUUCAUUUGGGCGAAGAUAGGACCGUACCGGAUCAUCUAUACAUAAAAAAAAUGUAUUGCUAUUCAGAUUGAGAUACUAAAAAAAUCAUACAAAUUCCAGGAUACAACCCAUAUUUUUCUGGUCAUUUCCUCAUUUAACAAUAACAAAAAGAAGCAAUAUUUUUUUUGUAACGUAACAGAAUAAUAAAAAUGUCAGUAAAAUUUCUCCCAAUCUUGGGUUUACAUAAGCUGGCGGAGGAAGGUUCAAGCUCUCCAACACCGUUUCAGAAUGAAUCCCACUCAGUGCUUACAGCUGCGGCUUGGCUCUGUAACAUCUUGCCUUCAACGUAUCCACAUCCUCCUGCAACUUUUGAACCCUACGUACCUGCGAAACACAAACCCCUCAAUCAAAUCUAUAUAUAGAUGCUCAUUUCACAAUGAAUAUAUAGAAAGAAGUAAUAUCUCAAGUGAUUCAGUGGAGCACAGCAUGAACGUCUCAAAUCUCAAGAAAUCUGAAAUGUAUCAAAACCAAAAUCUCUAUAUUUACGACUAACUAAACAGGAACUACAAAUGGAAUCCAAAUGUAUAUUUACAAGAGUCUGAAUCUAGAUCAUUGCAAACUCAUCACAAAGCCCUUCAUAACACACAUGACACAAGUACCAGAUGCAUAUCUUUCACCGCUCAUUGUUUAAACAUAGUUUAUGCUGCAGACAGACGAAAACUAACCUCUGCCUUUCGCUGUAGUCUAGCUUCCCCAUCUGCCUUGAUGCCAUCCAAUUUGAGCAACUGCCUCAUGAGCAGCUCAGCAGUCAUGUCAAACUCCUUCACCGCAACUAUCGUCCCUCCAUCGACAGCAGCCUCUAAAGCACCAACCUUUAUUUCAAAAACAAAACCAGCUUAAACCUUAAGCACGAUAGAACAACCGAAAAGAUGCAGUUAUAAAAAAAAAAAAGAAAACUCACCCUAUCCGAGAGCUCAUCGACCUCUCCAGAGACUGCUAGAACAGCAGCAAUAGCCUUUGCAAUCUCUUCGGUCAUCACAGGAGGCGGUUCAACAUGGUCAACUCCCUUAUUAGGCUCAUCCACAAGGACAACUACAGAGCCUUCCGUAACACCAGCAGCUUGCAACUGCUCAGCGUCAUCUUUCUCAUCUCCCCUGAACAAGAUCUUCAGAUCAGUAGCCUCCAACCCAGUUUCCAGAACAAGGGCUUUCUUUACAUCCCCUGUUGAACACAUUUGAGCUUAAAGAAUCAACCUUUACAAAAAUUAACACAGCUCAAAAAAAUAGGAAUUUCGGUAAGCUCGUCUAUAAUGAAUCUACAAGAAAAUGUCUACUGUUCACUAAUAAUGCAAUUUUGCCCUCAAACUAACUAAGGGAAAACUGGGAUCGUAAGUAAAUAAGUUGUUGUCGUAAAAUCAAUUGUAGAGUUAUGCAAUAAUAUAGUAAUCAAGCAAAGGCUGAAUGAGAAUGGUUAGUACUUUGUAGUAGUUGUUCUACUUCUCUAAUAAGUAUGUAAGAGUUAAGUUGUGUAAUGAAUCAGUUUUCGAUUACUCAAAUGGUUUUUACAAAGUUGUUUUUGAAACAUAGAGAGAAAAGAGUCGGAACACAAAACUGAGUGUGUGUUUUUUUUAAUACCGAAAGUGGCGUGCUGAGGAACAUGGAGAUGGUGGUCGGAGGAGCCAUGGUAAACGGUGAUAGUGAUGGUGUGAUUAGAAACGGCGGAAGCAGAGUCGGAGGAGGAGGCAGAGUCGUCUCUUUGUUGGACGGGCAUAGCACCAUCAGGUUCCGAAUCGUCGGUUGAGUGGUGCAUCAUCGUUGUCUGAAGAUAGAACCAAAAACCCCUUUCGCGCACGAACGAAAUUAGGGUUUUCGCAGUCUCUCCGGAAGACUCACCUCCUCAUGUCUUAAUACAAAUUUCUCCAGAGUAGACGGCGCCUUUUCAACCCUUCUUUCCUUUUCCGUAAUUAGAAUUUUUAAGGACCUUGGAACCUAAAAAAACAAACUGUUGGGGUAAAAAAUGAGUGAACACGAUUAUCUUCGAGACACAAAUGAACAUAUGAUAUAUAUUGAAAGUAGGUUACUCAGUUUUAAAUGAUUUUUAUAUGUAUGUAUUUGUCUCGCUAUGCCCACAGAUGAAAUAUGUGUAUAGGACUAGAUUACAAAACACCGUAACAGUUUAUAAUUACUUCUCAAUUCUAUAUUUUACUUGUUCAAAGAAAAUGGAAGUUGUUUAUUAUGAUCACAUUUGUUUUGGAUACUCCAAAGUUUUUUAAAUAUAUUCCAUCGCAUGAAAACUGGGUUACAGUAACAUAGUUUAGUGAAGAGUAGUAGCAAGUGAGUGUAAAUAAUGGGUGGUGCUUUGUCCCCAUUGUACUGCCGAAUCGCACCUGAUGAUGUUAUUUCCUCUAGAAUUGCAUUCAGGUGCAUGAGCUACGCCAAUCAGUGUUGAACAUUUAGAAAAUGACUUGUGCAAAAGGAGACAUUUUGAUAAGUACUUCUUUUCUGUUCUUUUUAUCUAAGAAACUCUUAAACUCAAACAUACAUAAGAACUGAAGUUUCAAAAAUUCUUUAAGAGAAAAAAAAAAAAGAAAGAUCUCAUGCUUCAGCAUUGCUACUUGCUUCCAUUGGCUCAGCCUCCGUUGAGGCCUCUCCUGCAUUCUUGGCUGCAAAAACAUUCAUGAGGAAUUAUAUAUGUUUUCUUCUCAACACUCAAAAUCUGCAAAUUUAAGUUCAUACCUUUCUUCUUCUUUCCACCACCCUUCUUCUUUUUGAUACCCAAGGCUAACCAUCCUUUGAUCUCAGGGUCAUCAAUGGUCUUCGUAGGUUGCAGCUCCUGAAGUGUAUGUGAAGUGAUCUUAUCCGAUCCAUUUGGCAUCAGCAAAACUGUGAAUUUAAUCUGGGCAACAAAAUCACCUGUUGAAAAAACACAUACAAACAUGAGAGAGUCCCAUUGUCAUGAUUCAUCUAAAAAUAGAUCAAAGAACCUUUCAUCAUCCUUACCAGGCUUCUCGUAAAGAACAGGAUAUGGUUGCAAAUGACCAUGGUUCACACACUCCACAAGUCCAAGACGUGCCCUUUUCUCCUCCAGCGACCUGUACUCUCAGGGAAAUUUAGUAGUUGAUAUAUAAUAGUAUUUGAAAUAUAUAUCAAGUGGUUAAGCAUGUACGAAUGUCACCUUGAAGUGAAUGGCAUGUGGGGGAAGUUCUCUUUAACCUCGCUUAUUAAGGAUCUGGAGGCCUUCAUCUUCAACUGAUAGUGAAUACUCUCAUCUUUCCGGUAAAUAGUUGUUUGCUUCUCGUCUAAUAGCUUAGGCUGCAAAUUCGAAUAAAUAAUGAGAACAGUGGCAAUUAUAAAAGCAACGGCAAUGGUAAUCAAGAUGAGAACAAGAAAUUACCUUGCCAUCACCAGUGCUUGCCACAAUAUCGAUUGCAUAGACUUCAUUCUCUUCAAACUCAGCAUCAUCAACCCUCGUUUCUGGAGUGGAUACACUUAGGAAACUCUUGCUUCCAUCUAUCACGUUCUGUUUCAUCUGGUGGGAAAUAACCCCUUCCACAAUUUUGCAGUCGUACGCUUCAGACACCUUCUGAAUAGCUUCAGUGACAGCAUGGUUCUGCCACAAAGAAAAAAAAAGGUCUAUCAAUUGUCUUGACGGUAGUACAUACAUUGUCGGUUUAAAAGGGAAACCACAAAAUUUCUAGCAAUAAACUAUAGUAUCUUAAUCUAUCAUCUCCAUAUAAGAGUAACUAUGACAAGAAAAAAAGAAGCCUCAUUUGAAUGUGAAUCCAUAGCAUUGUUAGUGAAUAUUCAUCCUUGGGGAAAUACAAACGAGAAACUUAGCCAGAAUCAGUAAAACCAAUAUCACUAACAGUCAGUUAAAAUCAAAAGUUCCCAUCAGAGUAACUAUGACAAAAAAACAUCAUAUGGAUAAAAAUCCAUAGCCAACAGUAAUUAUUCAUCAUCUGGGGUUUGCAAAACUUAAUCAGCCAUUCAAAAACCAAAAACAAUCAUGUAAGAACACCACCAUAAAAGCAAGUGGUUACCUUCUUCCCAGGACGUACGAGUCUCAAAGCAACUUCAGCGGCGGUAUUCGCAGCAGCAAUAACAUCAGCUUUGCGUCCAGUAACGGGUCCUUCUUGAAGAACAUGCGUGUGACCAACAAGAGCAAUGAACCCAUCAAUAUGACAUCCCAUAUCACUGCAACAGACAAAAAAGGCAAAACAGCAUCAGACUACAACUAAUGCAGACAAAACCCCAUUUCUUCUUCAAGAAAAAAAAGAGUCAUUACAUUUUGACCAUGUCACCCUCUUCCAACACUGACUCAUCACCAGCAAGAGGUGAGAAAUGACCAACGACGUUGUUCACAGAAACGCACGUGGGAAAAGCGACGCCUCGAUCAAUCUUCUUCUUUGCAUUCUUGUACAUGUUCCCUGUUUGCCUUUAUAUCAAAAUUAAAAAAAAAAACAAAUGAGCAAUGGGAGCUUGACAAAGAGCAAAUGAGAGAGUAAAUGAUACUGACUCUUUGAUAAAGGCGUCUCCUUUCUCGCAGAUAUCGACAAUCUUAGCUCCUGGCUUGCAUUCAGCCAAAACAACCUGCAACGCCUCUGCAAUUCCAAACCCCCAGAAUCAAUAAACACACAGACCCUUUAAAGAUAGAGCGAGAGAGAGAGAGAGAGAGAGAGCGUUACUGUUGACGAUCUCAGCGGCGCUCUUGUACUUUGUGACGACUUCAGGAGAGGUGAGAUCCAGCUCCUUCUCGUCUCUCUCGUCGUCGGAACUCAUCUCUGACAAAGCUCUCGAAGAUUCGAAGCGAUGUGUUUAGGGUUUAAGGAUGAGGAAUGAUUUGGGGUGAAAUGGUGAGGAGUGAGACGGAGUGUUUAGCUCAAAUAAAGGUACUAGGGCUUUCGCAUGUGUCCUCAAUGUUAAGCGGCACCGUUUCGGAUUGGAUUCGUCUGUUUUGUUUCUGCUACGUUUCUAAUGGUGGCCACGUGUUGUUCUUUUUGCUCCUUAAUGGGCCGGACGAUCACUGUUUACUAAUAAGAUAUAUCCUGCAAUCAAAUAGACAUUUACUAAUGGAGUAUAUAUAUUUUUUUUUUUGAAACACCUACUAAUGGAGUAUAUAUACCUCUUAUUUGGUGCUUUGGUGGCAGCUAACAUGUAACCAUAACCGGUCUUAGACCAAGCCUAAUAAAACAUUCUUCUCAAACGUCUAAUUUCAAAAUUUAUAUGUAAUUAGCCUUUAAAUUUGUAAAAAAAAAAAUUAAGUUCCCUAAAUUUUAAAAUAUUUACUAAAUAGUAUAGGAUCUCCAAACUCUCAAAACCAACCCUGCUUGUAACUCAUCCCCUCGCUUAGAUUAUCGUCUCUCAUGAGUAGCUUAGAACCUCUACAUUUGGAACCAUAAACUCUAGGAUGUAAAUGACCAUAUAAUGAAAGAAAGAAUUACAUCCAGAGGCAGUUUUAAGUUUAUUAUAUCACUAUAAGACAUUUUUCACUACCAACACACUUUUUCUCUCAUUUCAACACCUUCUCUCCUAUUCUCAACGUGUGGAAACCUCUUGCUACCCUUUCUCAUUAUUUAUAACUGAAACCUAAUUAAAAAUAAGAAUUAAUUCAUGUGGCCACAAAUCAAUAUUUUUUUCUCUUUCCUUAUCUCUUAAUUUUUUUUUUCAUCUUCCUCGUAUUUUCUUUCUGUUUAGAAAAAAGAUGAAACAUGACGAUGGAGUUAGAGUUUUACAGUCCUUAGUCGGCCUCAUGUAGAACAAAUAAAAAAAAUGAUAAGGAAAGAAUGAUGGCGUUGAUGAUGAAGACGUUGACAUCAGUGAGGACAGGUACGACGACGGCAAGGAUGUAGAAGGUGAAUGUGAGGUAUGAUUCUGAGAUAAUAAAUUUGUUUCGAAGCAUCGACAUCAACAUUUGGAAUCUUCGGUUCAUAUUCCACCGUAAAUUUAACCAUUGUUCCCAUGAUUGAUGGAUAACUCCGAUGAAUUUGAUUUGUGUCUCUGGCUGCUUCCUUUUGAUUCCAACGAAACCGGUUAUGACUAAAUUGAAAUCUACUGAGUUCUUGUUUUCUGAUUUUGCCCCCAAUGGAACUUGCUGUCUCACUAGCCAAAGCACCAUGAUUCCAAAAAGCAUCAAAAAUAUCAACCGACUAUGAUUCAUAAGCACAACAAGCAAGAUGUACAUCAAAAACAUAUGAUUUAUACAUGUGUACACAAACAAAUAAUUAUAUAUAACACUGAUUGUACACAUGUACAAACAUCUAACAGUGGCAAUGUAAGCAACAGAAAAUCAAACACUUACAUUAUCAAGUUCUUAAAUAAUCCCCAUUAAUGAACACAUGUGAACUCUUUCGUUCACAUAAACCAUCAAUCAUCGUCUUUUUACAAAGGCAUUUUCUAUCUUUCAGAUGUACACGUGUACGCAUCGACGUAGUUAUUUCAAUGUAUUUGUGUACACAAACAUUUUGUGUACACACAUAGGACAUGGACGACGACGGCAAGGAUGUAGAAGGUGAAUGUGAUGUAUGAUUUUGAGAUAAAAAAUUUGUUUGGAAGAAUUGACAUCAACGUUUGGAAUCUUCGGCUCAUCUUCCACUGUAAAUUUAACCAUUGUUCCCAUGAUGGAUGGAUAACUCCGAUGAAUUCAAUUUUUGUCUCUGGCUGCUUCCUUUGAUUCCAACGAAACCGGUUAUGACUAAAUUAAAAUAUAUUGUGUUCUUGUUUUUUUGAUUUUGCCCCCAUAGAACUUGCUGUCUCACUAGCCAAAGCACCACGAUUCCAGAAAGCAUUAAAAAUAUCAACCGGCUAUAAUUCAUAAACACAAAGCAAGAUGUACAUCAAAAAUAUAUGAUUUUGUACAUGUGUACAUAAACAAAUAAUUAUACAUAACACUGAUUGUACACAUGUACAAACAUCUAACAGUGACAAUGUAAGCAACGGAAAAUCAAACACUUAUAGUAUCAAGUUCUUAAAUAAUCCCCAUUAAUGAACACAUGUGAACUCUUUCAUUCACAUAAACCAUCCAUCAUUGUCCUUUUACAAAGGCAUUUUCUAUCCUUCAUAUGUACAUGUGUACAAUAAUAUUGUGUACGCAUCGACGUAGUUAUUUUCCAAAAACUUAAUGAAUGGCAUUUUCGUAAUUAAAAACAUCAUCUUCCUCAAAAAAUCACUAGGGUUCUGGAACUUUACUACGCAGCCGCCAUGGAUUAUUUUCACUUAAUCUUUUUUUUUUGCGUUUAGACAGAGAUUAACACUUCGAACUUGUAGAACUAUCAUAUACUAACGAUUUUAACCUUCAGAAUAACAAAAAAUUUAGAUUUUACACUUCUCCUAAUUUACCAAUUAACACCAAAUCGAGACAUUCAUCAACCAACAAGCAGUUAACCACCGCAAAUUCAGACGCACCGUCACAUCUCGGAUUCUUAAGCUUCGUUGUUAGCCAACAUCUCAUCCCAACAAUCUCUUUCGGGUUUCGUCAAAAAUAUAAGAAAAUUUCGUCAAAAAUAAAAUUUGUGGGUCAAAUUAGAAUACAAAUGUGGAUUGGUAUUUUCUUAGGUUUUAAAAUUCAAAUACGUUUGAAAAGAAACUGGCAACUGAGCACCAAAAAAAACAAUUAGAUUUAUUGAAAAAGAGGUAAUUAUGUAAACAACCAACAAGAAACUACCUUAGUAGUUGUAACUGUCAAAAAACUUAAAAUUGCCUCUACAUGUAAAUGACUAAUGAAAAUCCACAAACACCCAAGUGAAGCAUAAAAAAAAAGAUGCGUCUUGGUUAUUAGCUAAUUUCUCUAGAAUCUGCGACAUUGAUUUGUGUGUUUCAACCGGUGGUGAGUAUCUAGUUGAUAAGAGCAAGCAGAAAAAUUAAAAGCCACAGGUGAACUAAACUCUGCAUACCGCAACAUGGAGCUGACUGCCUGACUGGUUCAACCGCAGCGAUUGCGGUUGCGGUUGCGGGAGUUUGCGGAUGCGGGUGGUUGCGGUUUCUAGCGGUUUUAAGAGAUUUGUACGACUGGUUCUGCGGUUAAAAAUUGGUGCGUUUGCGGGAUACUUAUGACUGGUUAACUACAAAGUGCAGCAGCGGUUAAAUAAUAAAUUAACAAUAUUUACAUUUUAUACAAUUAUAAAAAUAUCAAAAAUAAUAAUAUUAUAAUAAAUAUAAAAGUUAUAUUUAGAAAGUUAUAGUUUAAUUUUUUAAAAAAUAUAGAAAAUAUUUUUAUUUUAAAGUUUUAUAAUAUUAAUUAAAAUUUAAUAGAUAUAUUUUAGCAUUUUUAUAAUUCUAAUUUAAUUUUUUUAUUGAAUAUUUUUAUUUUUGUAUUUAUAUUGUUUUGGAAAAAAAGAAAUUUUUUUUAUCCUCCCGCAACCGCCCGCAACCGCAAACGCUAGCUGGAACGAGCUUUUGAAUUUAUGAGGUUCAGAGCGAUUUGGAGCGGUUUGGAACGGUUUGAGCGAUUGUUGCAAAACGUCAACAACCGCUACCAACCGCAAAAGCUGCGUUUGCGGGUGGUAGCGGGAAAACCAGUCAUGCCCUGAGUAAGGCCUAUAGCACCGACGCAUAUCCAUUUUGGACCCGGGCCAGUUACGUGGAGAAUACUAUCUUAGGAGAAUAUAUUUUAUCUUUCCAUAUAAAUGGUAACAGUACUUAUAAACAAGAACGACAGAUUUGAAUAUAAGCUACAAAAACAUUUAUUAAAAGUUCGACAAAAUGUGUCUAACGUUUCAUUGUUUAGUUCAACGACAGCAAUGAACAUGCUUUGUUGCAGUUCGUUUGUCGUUAUCACAUGAAGAGACUUUUAUGGAAGGUUUGAAAAUAAGUGUGUAAGAGAAUCGAACAUUACAAAUAUUUAUCACUUUGACAUUGACCAGUUCCAAAUAUCAGUCAAUUAUGGAUCGUUUUUUUUCUUAAUACUUUUAACACGGAAAUUAAUUAUUAUUUUUUGCUUAACUGAAAUUAUGUUGCAGUUUUAUUAUGCAAUUCCGACUAUGGAUAUAUACUAUUUAUUAUGUUUCAUACGAGUCGUAUGAUACGACUAUGAACAUGACAAAGUAAAAUGAUGAGACAGCCUAUUAUGUUUCAUACGACCAUGAACAUGACAAAGUAAAAUGAUGACACACAACAACAAUAUUUUAGAUUUUUCAAAAAAACAACAACAAUAAUUUAGGUACUAUACAUAUAAAUAUUAUAACGUUACACCUAGACUUGUAAGCUACAGGUUUAAACCCCCCCCCCCCCCCCCCCCCCCCCUUUUUUUUUACUAAGCUACAGGUUUAAACUUGUUGUGUCAUUUAUCAUAAAUCUGAUUCAGGUUUGAAAGUGCGUGUCUGUGUGUGAGUUGUAAACUUCUAAACAAGAUUUAACUAAAUAUAUAUGUGUAAAUGCCAUCAUUUAAAUGGUUCUAGCUUACUUUAAAUUUGAUUAAGAACUUAACUCGUACUUAGAUACCAUCAACGCAACCAACUUUAUUGCCAAGAUAAUGGGGAACACAUGAGAGAAUAAAUUUAGAAAAUGUUAGAAGAGAUGAGGGCACUGAGUGAAACCUUGUUUUUGUAGCAUACUUGAGUUUAUAUUCAGAUGACCCAUCAUGCUAUGCUUUCUCUUUAGCUUAUACCAUAGACUUUGCGACAAUUGAGAAAAAGACAAACCCAACACAAUUUAUUUUACUGAAAACUUAUCAAACUUUAUUUCUUUAAUUAUUUAAUGCUUCCUCUGUUUUAAAAUGAUUCAUGUUUGCAAAGAAAAUUGUUUCAAAAUAUUUUUAAAUUUUAAUACUUUUUAUUAGGUAAUAAUUGUAAAUUUCAAAUUGUAAAAUUUGAAGAAAUUAAUUGUAUUUAUUAAAAUUUAAUUGACCAAAAGUUUUGAGAAAUAGUUAAUCACAAAAAAUAAUGUAUCUAUAAUCAAAAUUUUAUAUAUAUAUAUAUGAAAUUUUAAAACAUACAUCAUUUGAAAUAGAGGAAGCACUACUAUAUUUUUUUGGUUUGUAAUCCAUUAAUUCAUAUCAUCUACCUUUUGUGUUCCUAUAGAUUUUACCUUUACAGUUCUUUGAGCCUUUGCCUACCAAAUCCUUUUAGAGUUGUAAUAAUUAUCAUUGACCAAUUGUGUUUGUAUUAAUUGUCUUAAAUUCACAAAGAUGGUACUCCUUCCGAUUCAUAAAUAGUGUCACUUAGACAUUUUCACACAUAUUAAGAAAAUAUUGAGAUGUAUUUAUGUUUUCAUUAAUUACAACUAGUUAACCAACAAUAUUUGAGAUAAACAAAUUUGUUUAUAAGAUCAUUGCAUUUUGCAAUUAGUAUUUAGCUAAAAUUGAUUAUAAAUUGUAUUGGAAUGUAGAAUAACACUUUUUAUGUAGUAAGGAAAAACGCUAAAGUGACACUUAUUUAAAAACAGAAUGAAUAUGAUGUAAAGCUUAGGGACAAGGUCAAGCAAUGAACAUCGAUGGAUUUAUGAGAGAUUCACUUUUGUGUCAAUAGGACGUUUUCUUAUAGAUUUAAUGGAUUUAUCAGUUAAUAUAAGAGAUUAAGUUGAAAAACUAGCAACUACACACAAAAGCGAGGAGCUAAAAGUUACAUGUUGUUCAAGAGAUUCGUCAACACACUGGAAAACAAGUUGAAACCUCUAUUCCUUAGUUUGAAUAAGUAUUACUAAGGAUAGUCAUAGUGUUGGUUCAUGCAAAAAAAUAUUGAAACGAACAGAAUUCACAAAUAAAACCCCAGAAAGGAAUAGAAAGAUAACAGAUCAAACAUCUCAACUAAUAGAUAGUUUAUUGGAUGUGAUACGCUUUGGCAGGUGUGAAUGAACCUCCACAUUUUGAGAUUUGGUUGGUUAGAUGGGUCAAAUGUGAACGCAUCAUUGGUGCUUCAGUUUUAGUAUACAAACCUUUGUAGCUCCCGAAAACAUGUUCGUGAUCCACUCUACCCAAAUAAGAUAUGUGAAACUCCAUCCAAAGCCACAGACUUCUUUUGAAAGAUUAAAAGACUACAGCUUUAACGAAGUCUUGUUCUCUGGUUUGGCACUGGACUACUUACUUAAUGAACUGGGAAUAUGUAGUUACUAUUUACUGCCAAUGACAAUAGUUUUUUCGUCCCAAUUGACCAUAUGCUUAGUUAUCCUCAGCCCAACGGCAAAUUCAGUGUAAUUUUUACACCAAAUCUAUGUAAUCCAAUUCUAAAAAAUCACAUUAUUUUAGAUCAUUUCUAAUGAAUUAUUUUAUUAAUUUCUUUAAAAUAGAAAUAACUUUAUAAUAGAACUGAACAAAAAUAAUAAUAAUUAUGUUUAUGGAAUAAACUUAUUUUUACUCUAUUGUGUGGUAAAAAAUAUAUUAGAGUCGGAGAUGACCUUAAUAUAACACUAUAGCACAAAACUAAAUAUGGUACAAUACUAUUCACAACAAUAAAUAUUGUUUACUUAAUUUUAUUUAUAAAAUAUUAGAUAAAUAAAUAUUAAUAGGAAGAUAAAUAAAUAUAAAAUAAAAAAUAGAUAUAUUACAUAUAUUGAAAUUGUUUUAAUUAUUUUAAUAUAUGUUACAAUAGAAAAAUAUUUGAGUGUGAUAUAACUUUUGUGCAAUAUAGUUACAUUAUAAGAUUUAUGUGUUAUAUAUUAAAUAAUAAUGAAAUUUUAUAAUUUAAUAUAGAAAAAAUAAAAUACAGUUUUAGUGUAAAAUUUAGUAUUGUAAUCGGAAAAUUAAAAUUUUAGUGGUAAAAUUACAAUAAAAUAGUGUGAUUUUUACAUAAAAAAUAGUGUUAAAGAUUGGAGACAUCUACAAUGAGUGACUUUCUAAGAAUUUGUGGGAAAUUUAGCUGUUACAUUUUUAUUUUUUAAGUUGUUAUAUUUCAUUUUGUUGAAAAAAAUAGAUUAUAUAAAGUGUUGAUUUAACAAACAAGUAAAGACCAUCUAUCAAAAAAAAAAAAGAGAAAUAAAGCAAAGAGACCACAUAAUGAUUUGAGUUUUAUAGAAAACAUCAAAAAGGAGAGAGACCUCUCUCUCUCUCUCUUUCUCUCUAGUCUCUACCUACUCAUCUUCACCGUACCCUUUCUUCGAUCUAUGCUUCUUCUCUCCAUAGAUUCCCACUGUUACGAUUCCCUCCAAAGGCUAUAAUGCGCAACCCUAGAUUAGCUACUUAAAACUUCCCAAAGAUCUCUCUUCCUUUUCUGCUCUAUCACUUUCUUCUUUUGUAUAUAGCUCAGACGAAAAGCUCGAGACUUUGAGCUUACCCAGACCAAAGCUCGACGCUUUAAGCUAACCCAGAAGAAAAGCUCGAGACUUUGAGCUUCCAACAACUCAUGGGGAACUGCUGCAGAUCUCCCGCCGCUGUGGCGAGAGAAGACGUCAAAUCCAACUACUCCGGCAACGAUCACCGCCGCAAAGACGCCUCCGGCGGGAAGAAACCGGCGCCGAUUCGAGUCCUCGGCGACGUCCCCAAGGAGAACAUCGAGGACCGUUACCUACUCGACAGAGAGCUCGGCCGCGGCGAGUUCGGCGUCACGUACCUCUGCAUCGUGAGAUCCACGCGCGACCUGCUCGCCUGCAAGUCCAUCUCCAAGAGGAAGCUCAGGACCGAGGUGGACGUCGAGGACGUGAAGAGGGAGGUGGCGAUUAUGCAGCAUUUGCCUGAGAGCUCGAGCAUUGUCACUCUGAAGGAGGCUUGUGAGGACGACAACGCUGUGCAUUUGGUGAUGGAGCUGUGUGAGGGCGGCGAGCUUUUCGAUAGGAUUGUGGCCAGAGGGCAUUACACGGAGCGGGCCGCGGCGGGGGUCACGAAGACGAUCAUGGAGGUUGUGCAGCUUUGCCAUAAGCACGGUGUUAUUCAUAGAGAUUUGAAGCCGGAGAAUUUCUUGUUUGCUAACAAGAAGGAGAACUCGCCGUUGAAAGCUAUUGACUUUGGAUUGUCUAUCUUCUUCAAGCCAGGUAGUGUCACUGAUGUUGAGUCUUGCUUUGAAAGUAGUCGAUUCUGAAACCAAUUAGUUUCAUAGUUAUAGAGCUUUUUGAUGUUUCUUGAUUGAUGGAACUUGGCCAGUUUAGUUGUGCCUUGAUGCUGUUGUCUUACAAAGCUUACACAUAUUUGUCAGGUGAGAAGUUCUCGGAGAUAGUUGGGAGUCCAUAUUACAUGGCACCUGAGGUGCUAAAGAGGAGCUAUGGACCUGAAAUAGAUAUUUGGAGUGCUGGAGUCAUUCUUUAUAUUCUCCUUUGUGGAGUUCCUCCUUUCUGGGCAGGUACCUUCCUCUCUUCUUUGUUCUCCUCUUCCAGAGCAUUUGCUUAUUGAUUUUUUUCAACCACAGAGUCGGAACAGGGAGUGGCUCAGGCUAUUUUACGAGGGAUAAUUGAUUUUAAGAGGGAACCAUGGCCAAACAUUUCAGAGACUGCCAAGAGUCUUGUCAGACAAAUGCUAGAGCCUGAUCCAAAGCGCCGGCUAACUGCAAAACAAGUGCUUGGUACAUAGACUCCACCUUUGCCUCUGCUCUCUUACUCUCUUCAUCUGUUUCAGAGAUUGUUUAUGCUUAUUCCUUAUUUUGUAGAGCACCCAUGGAUUCAGAACGCCAAGAAAGCUCCAAAUGUCCCUCUUGGAGAUGUUGUCAAGUCCAGACUAAAGCAGUUCUCAGUGAUGAACAGAUUCAAGAGAAAAGCUUUGAGGGUCUGUUAUUCAGAAAGCUCAUUUUGCAUUAGUAGCUUCUUAGACCACACUUAUCUUAACUUGCCUUGAAUCAAUCUAGGUUAUUGCUGAAUUUUUAUCUACUCAAGAAGUAGAAGACAUCAAGGAGAUGUUCAACAAGAUGGAUACUGACAAAGAUGGUAUUGUUACCAUCGAGGAGUUGAAAGCUGGACUUCGCGAUUUUGGUACACAGCUAGCUGAAUCAGAAGUUCAGAUGCUUAUUGAAGCGGUGCACAUAUUCUCUUCCCUUACAUCACCAUAUGACACCUAACACAAUAUCUUAGUUCACUAAAUUCAAUUUUGUAUAAUAAUAGGUGGAUACUAAAGGGAAAGGAACACUAGACUAUGGCGAGUUUGUUGCAGUCUCUCUCCACCUGCAGAAGGUAGCAAACGAUGAGCAUCUCCGCAAAGCGUUCUCUUACUUUGACAAGGAUGGAAAUGGUUACAUUCUCCCCCAAGAGCUUUGUGAAGCCUUAAAGGAAGAUGGAGGAGAUGACUGUGUGGGUGUUGCUAAUGAUAUAUUCCAAGAAGUUGACACUGAUAAGGUAAGCGGUCCCUUAGAGCUAUAGUUGGUGUAAAGAGUUCACUUAUCACUUCGUUAGAUAGAACAGCUUUAGAGCUAUAGUUAGUGUUGAAGACGUUUUUUUCUAGUGGUUAUGUUUGACAUGGAUGAUUGACAUUAGGAUGGGAGAAUAAGCUACGAAGAGUUUGCAGCAAUGAUGAAAACAGGAACUGAUUGGAGAAAGGUAUCUCGUCAUUACUCGAGAGGGAGGUUCAAUAGCCUAAGCAUCAAGCUAAUGAAGGACGGAUCAUUGAACCUAGGCAAUGAAUAAUAGCAAACAAAGUGAGUAAGCUGCACUAAGAUUUUGUUAGAGUUUGUUUCUCACGUCACGUCCCUCCACGUCAAAUAUUAAGCUAAGUGAAGACAAACAGCUUGGGACUCGGAAUCAAUCUUCUUCUUUUUUUGUAAAUCUUUCGUUUUUUAAUUUUCUAUUUUUUGGUGAUUUGUGCUAUCUGUGUCUUUAUUGGUUUUGUGGGGUGUGAGUUAUGUUUGUUGUUGUAGAAAGGGUCAAAGACAUGAAAAUCAAUGAUUGAUGUGUAGAAGAGAACCUACGACCUUUCUGUAAUGUUAAUGAAUCAUUUCACAACUCUCGUCUAUAUGCUGAACACUGGUCAAUCAAAUUACUCCACGUAUGUUUUGAUGACAUAAGCGCAUCUCCAUCCCCGCUCCAUUUUUCUCUCUAAAAUAGAGUAACUUAACUUCAUAUCUCACUUCAUAAUAAAAUUUACUCCAUAAAUGGAGUAAUUUAUUUUUUGUUUAUUCAUUACUUCAUUAUGGAGUGGGAAAUGGAGUAGGGUUAGAGUAAUUUUACUUUAUUUUCACUUUUACUCUAUUUUAAAGGAAAAAAUAGAGUUUUACAUUGGAGAUGCUCUAAGACCAUCUCCAACCCAAACCUAUUUUUUCUCUAUAAUUCUUACAAAAUUAUAGUAACUCUAUUAUUCCUACAAAAAUAGAUUAACUCUAUUAUAGGUUAAGUUCUGUUCCAAUGAUUUACUUUUUUACUCUAUUAUAGAGAAGAAAAUAGAAUAUUUCACUUUUUCACUCCAAAUAUAGAGUAAAAAGUAAACCAUGAGAGCAAAAUUUAUCCUAUAAUAUAGUUACUCUAUUUCUGUGGGAAUUUUAGAGGAAAAAUUAGGUUUGAGUUUUAGAUGCCCUAAGUUACUUAAAUCCAAAAAAUAGGUAUUUUAUAUUCUAAGUAUUAUUUGUACAAAGUUAUUUAUGAACUAAUUGUUAACUACACAAAACUGGGUUUGAAAUGACCAACGGGUAAAAUGUAAACGAAAAAUUAACGAUUUCCGUCCAAUUUUAACAGUUAACUAUUUCAAACCCAAUUUUGCGCAGUCAACACUUAGUUCAAAAAUAAUUUUGCGCAAGCAAAUACUUAAAUAUUAAAUGUGAUGAUUGCAAAUAGUUGGAGAAUAAAAAAACCAAAAUCCAUAACAAUCUAUAUAAGUGAUCUAACUUUAUUAUUUGUUAAUUUUAAAGACAUAUAAUAUUUAAAUAUGUGAAGCUUAUACACAUUUGUAUUACAUAUAAGUACUUCAAAAGUAUCUAUUACUAUAAGCACUAGAUAUAACAUAUGUGUAUUUCAUGCGUGUAAGAUCACCGAUAUAUGGUUUUGGAUAUUUGUUUUAGAUCAAUUUAUAUUGUACAUAAGUUAUACGAUACAUUGUGUUAAAAAAAAAGUUAUACGAUACAUAUAUAUAUAUUUUUGUCUUAUAAUAAUUUAUAUGUAAAUGCAAAUCUAAAAAAACAUGUUAAUGGAUUUUAGAGUAUAUUGGUUUCUUCAGACUUGUAAAUUUUCUUAACUCGAAUUUUAAGAAAUUGAUUGAUAUUUUUAUUUAGAAAUUUCUAUGGAUCAUAAUAACAAUAUAGAUUUUUAUUCCUUAACUAUUUAAAAUCAACAUAUUUAAUACUCAAAUAUUGCUUGCUUUUCGUUUACAUUUUAAUAGUUUACUAUUUCGAAUCUAAUUUCGCAUAGGUAACAAUUAGUUCGGAAAUAAAGUAUUAAAUGUGCUGAUUUUAAAUAGCUGGAGAAUAAAAUACUCAUUUCUUCUUAAAACCCAUAGUUAAACUUUGGUGUUAUGGAAUUAAACAUGGUUUAUAACUUCAGAGUUUUAAGUUUUUGUUUUUUGACAAAACAAGACAAAAUAAAAAAUUUUAGUUCAUCAUCUCAAGCAUUUAAUAUAGAGAUAUUGCAUAUCACGAGGCUGAUUUCAAACUUAAUACGAAAGCUAUCUAGUACCUACUUACCUUGUCUCGGCUCUUAGAGCAUCAACAUCAAGUGACUAACACCAGCAACCCACCUACAUUAUUGGCCUGCAAAGGAAUCAAAAAGAUUAAUCAACGUCUCACAAAACAAUGCAUCUCAAGAUUUAGAACAAUCCAACCAGAUCCAUUAUGUCUAUAUGCGCCGUUCUUAAUUUGAGAUGAAUCACAUCUUACAGGAACAAAAGUAAGCACAUACGGCACUUGCUUUCUUCUUAAAGUUGACAGUAACAUCCUGCUGCAGAUUUGCAGUCAUAUUCAACAAGAUUUGAGGUUUAUGAUGUUAAAGUUUCCCAGAUUUGGGUUUUCACAAACUCGUUUAAAGAUGUGAUAGUAGAAGAAUCCCAUCUGUUCACCUCAGCAAUUACAAUAUAUUUUUACAUAAUUAGAGAAUUUGAAGUGAUAAAGAUUUGUCUCCGAUUUGUUUCGUGAUUUUCCUGGAUUUCGAGUGGAGUGUUUUUAUCCAGCUACCGGCUGUGUGAAUAAGACGUGUUCGGGAAGCUUUUUUUGGCUUCGCCGUGGGGUGUUAGGCGUAUGAGGCGCGUGGAGAGCACAAUCAAGGUCCAAUGGCGAGUCUUAGUUGGGAUUGAAGGGUGUGUACAGCAACGGUUAAGGACUCUAACCUCUCUCGAAUCUGUUUAUGCGUUGGUGAUGCUCGUAUGCGUCCUGUCUACCUCGUUGUUCUUCUCCUCUGGUGUUAUUUGUGGAUGUGUUCUCGUUAGGUAUGCCUGUCCUUGAGUGCAAGGUGGUGCUCUCCGUUCUUGUAGUGAUCUAUCCCUUCCUUGUUUUAGCAUACGAUGUUCUUUGUUGUUGUUUUACUCUUGGUUCCGAAGGGUGUUGUUUUACCUCGUCGGCUUAUGGCUCCGGAAAGGCUUUGUUCCUUUGUCGGCUUUGUGUAAGGCAUGGUUAUUUCAAUUUUAAUCCAACAGAUGACAAAAAAAAAAAGAAGUGAUAAAGAUUUGUAUUGAUGUCAGAUAUACUUACAAUAUUUUUUAUUCAAUCAAUGAUAUUUUAAUAUUUUCUUGAAUAAUAUGUUAAUUCAACUAAUGAUAAAAUUUGUGUUAGUCAGUUAAUACAUGCUAAAGUAUAGAUUAAAUCUUCAAAUUUUCUCUUGCAAGAAAAAAAUAGAUUAAUUUUUUUAGCCAAGAGAAAAUUUGAAAAUUUAUAAGGGAAGGUUUAUAUUUUAAUCGUUUGACAUGAUACAAAUCAAAUUUAGUGGAAGCCACAUUGGUCCAGUAGUUUGACUAAAGGUUCAUUAAUGCUUAUACAUCAUAAGAUCUGGGUUUCGAUUCCUAGAGAAUGCGGAAUUAUUUGAAUUAAUGAAGAAAAGAAUUACAAGAGAUUUGCAGUAUGGCACAUGAAUACUGUCAAGUGUGGAUCACAUAGAACGACUAGUGCUGGGAAUAUGAAUCAUUAUCCGGUCACCUGCAGGUUUAAGCGGGGCGGGUGCGGGUUUCAUAUUUUUUUUUGUGGGUCAAACGGGUCAAAUUUUUUGAGUCAAAAAAAUCAGUCAACCCGCAGGUUGGCGGAUCAAGCGGGACGGGUCUGACCCGUAACCCAGCUCUAAGGACGGCUCAGGUAAUGCAAUCAAGUGUGAAUCUUCAUAAAGUAGAUAGAAUUAUCGGUUGUAGAGUCGUCUGUAAUAUUUCUCAUAGUUUGUAAUAGCAUAAUUAUUCACAGUUAUAAACAAAUCAAAUUUAAAAUGUUCAAUCCUACUAUAACAUGUGAAAUCAGGAUCUUAAGGGGAGAGUGAAGCAUGCAUAGCUUAGCGAUUUCUUCUACCAUUUCCAACCUGUUCUCUAAUUUUCAGACAAAGUUUUAAUAUUUGGAAUUUUCUUAUAAAUAUAUCUAGUAAUAAAAGUAUUUUUAAACAAUACAAAUUCGUUAAAAAAUUUAAGUGUUGCUUAAACAAGAAAGCGACAUAUUGAAAUAAGAGAUUAAUAUAUGCUGUCAGUAUUAGAAUCAUACAAAUCAAAGAAGGAACAGAGUUACAAACUUAAAUAAGUACUGAAGAACUUUAUAAGAUAUAGACUCAAGUGGGCACCAUGAGAAGCAGACGCCAACACUAGACAACUCAAAGACACAUGUGUCUCGUACGAAUGGUACUGUACUAUACUACUAUGUUAUUAAAUAUUCCGGAAAGCUCCACAACUCUCUAUUCUUUUUGGAAUUUCCCCCAGCAUCUCGUUUUGGCUCGGUGUGAUUUACGUAUGGCAACAAGCAAUGGAAAGUGAUAUAAAUCACACAAUUAAAAAGUCAAGAAAUGACUUAAAGUAGUGUUACAUGUGAGAUAUGCUUGUACGACUAUUUCUGGAUGAUAUUUACUAGAUCUUGGCCGUUAAGUGAAAAUUUCCUAAACAAAUUAAGCAUUUAGAGUUCAGUCCAGAUUUCACUUGCUACUUAUUAUAUUUUAUAACCAAUUAAUUUCACUUGCUAGUUAAGUUUAGUCCAGAUUUCUCCUUCCCAUUACCUUUUUUGAGUUUUUAGAUAUGUUGUAUAGUGACCAACUAUUUAUUCGAGUUUGAAAUGUUUUCUGACUACAUAAAAACCUAUUUUUAGUUAACAAUUGAAGGCCAUAAAAAUGUUUUCUGACCAACACGGGAUUCUAAUUUUGAAGUUUGAAACACCGACCACUGAUGGUCACUGAUGGUGACCAUCGUAGUAUGUAUGAUGGCCAACACUUUUUUACAACUACAAAAAAGUAGUCACGUAUGAUUUAGACGUUGCAAUCAAUACUAUUAAAAGGGAAGGAGUUCUAAAAAAUCUACUUAUACAAGGUUGUUGCACCUAUUUAUUUUUUAGUCCAACCUAUUGUAUACAAUUAAAUAUUAUUAACUAUCCCCUAUUAUAUAGCAACCAAAUUAUAUAUUUUAACAUUUAAAUAAAUCUCACCCACUUUAAUAAGAUCAUGACUAUCAAUUUAACAUAUAUAUAUUUGAUAUAAACGGCACCAAAAUUGUAAUACGUAGGGGUCAUUGUCAUAUAUAUCAUCCUCCUCUAUUAAAUCAAAGUUUUCUUACAAGAUCAACUUUUAAAAUAUAAAUGAGUCAUGUCCUAUUAAACAUUAUAGAUCAAACCUGGAGAGUAUUUUCCACCCAAAGUUUUAUAAAACGAAUCAAUGAAUUUGCUAGGUUUUGGAUUUUUGGACCUAAUUAGGUAUUUAGAAAAAAAAUUAUUUGGGUUCGGAUCGAUUUCUUUCGUAUCUUGAUGGUUUCGACUCCAUAAUUCAAAUAACUAUUAAAUAUAUGUUAUUUUUUUGUAUGUAACGGGUAUGGAUCCGUUCAGAUAUUUAGGACUCAAAUAAAACUCGAUAAACAUAAAUAUACUUGAAACACGAAAAAAUAUCCAAAAUCUAAACAAAUACCUGAAAAUCAGAAAAUACUCAAAAGAUCUAAAAUUGUACUUGAAAUCUGAUCCGAGGAACCAAAAAAUACCCAAAAUUUUAUCUGAAUACCCAAAUAUAUUUUUAAAAUUUGAUUUCUUACUCGAAAUCCAAAACUAUAACCGGAAAUUCAAACCAAAACUCAAAAAUAUAUGUAUACUAAACAAAUAUCCAAAAUACACAAAUAUAUAUAAUUUACACAAACAUUUUGGGUACUUUGGCUCCCAACGGGUUUCGGGUAGGUCUCAGACGCGUACAGAGACCCAUAUUUCCAAAAAAAUACGUAUUUUUCUCUGGACCCGACGCGAACCGAACCAGAAUUUUCGAGUUGAUUUUGGUUUGGCUUUUCGGGGUCCAUGUAAAAUACCCAUGCGCAAAAGAGAAUUACAUAAGAUUUAUACAAAAUUCCAAAUAAAGUAAUUCAUGAAUUAUAUAAUAUUUUUAAAAAUUAUUUCUUUUAUAUAAUUCGACUUUGUAACAUAAUAAUGUAAAACAAUCACACAAUACUAAUUCAUAUCAAAAUUUGUUAUAACAAAAGAACCCGCGCUUUCAAGCACGGGUCAAAAUCUAGUUAUUGGUUAUUACAGGCCUGAAUUUUUGGUGUCUCCACUAUGAAAAUGGAUAUUCUCUUUUUAUUCCAUGUCCCUCGUCAAAUCGUAACUAGUAAUUUGAUAGGAAAAGAACACUGGAACUUGAUCCGUGCAUCAUGUAAAUAUUUGAUUUAACUUUUGUUCAACAUAAAUUUAUAAACUUUUGAUUUUAUAAAAAUAUUACAUGUAUAUUUUUUAUAUUUUGCAAUUUACAUAUAGAGUAAAAUAUAUUAUUUUCUAAUAUACAUGUUUGAUAAUAAAUUUUUUAUUUGUACAUAAUAUUAUAUUAAAAAUUUAAUAACUUAAUGCAAAUUAACAUAAUUUAUCUAUUCAUAUAGUAACCUGUUAUUUUUUUUGUUAAUUUAUUUCAAAAUGAAACAACAUAUUGUACUAAAUUUUUUAAUUUUUUGCAUUAAUUUUAUGAUAUUUUGUUUUCUUGAAAAUUGAACUCUCGAAAUUUUUAUAUUUGACUACAUGCGAUUUGGUUAAUAUUAGUAUAAUACUAAUAAUAAUCAAUAUAUAAAUAUCGGUUUAGUUAGAUAAGUUUUGAAAUUAUAAUUAAUUUAUUAAAUUAAUUUCAAAUACAGUGGCACAAUAUGUAAAUACAAAAAUACAAAAACACUUAAUUUAUCGUAAAUGCAAUAGCUAAAUUACUAAAAAUACUGCUAUUCAUAUUUACAAACAUUUCUCAUUUAUAUUUUUAUCCAUGUUUCCAAAAAAUACAAAAAAAGACUUCAGUUUUAGUAAUACAGAUUUAUUUGUCGUACACAUACAAGCUUAUAAAUAUGAUUGUUAUCAAACACAUUACAUUGCGUAUAUAAUAUUUAUAUAUGCAUGAUUAUAUAUAUAUAUAUGUAUAUAUAUUUAGAAUGUCAGAUAAUAUGCUAAAUACACAUCCCAAUUUGAUAUAAAUUAUUUAAUGGAAAAUAUUCAUUUUAGUAAGGUUUGAAAUAUAUAAAUCGAUGAUAAAUGAGAUACAGAUUAUUACUAAUAUAUAGGGUCUGACUGGUUCAAACGCAGCGGUUGCGGUUGCGGCUGCGAACAUUUGCGGAUGCGGAUGGUUGCGGUUUCUAGCGGUUUUAAGAGAUUUGUACGACUGGUUAUGCGGUUAGAAAUUGGUGCGUUUGCGGGAUACUUAUGAAUGGUUAACUACCAAAUACAGCAGCGGUUAAAUAAUAAAUUAACAAUAUUUACAUUUUAUAUAAUUAUAAAAAUAUCAAAAAUCAUAAUAUUAUAAUAAAUAUGUAAAUUAUAUUUUCAAAGUUAUAGUUUUAAAUUUUUAAAAUUAUAGAAAAUAUUUUUAUUUUAAAAUUUUAUAAUAUUAAUUAAAAUAUAAUAGAUAUAUUUUAGUAUUUUUAUAAGUCCAUUUUAAAAAAUUUAUUGAAUAUUUUUAUUUUUGUAUUUAUAUGGUUUUUAAAGAAAAAGAAAAAAAAAUUAUCCUCCCGCAACCGCCCGCAACCGCAAACGCUAGCUGGAACUAGCUUUUGAUUUUAAGAGGUUCGGAGCGGUUUGAAGCGAUUUGUAGCGGUUUGUAUGAUUGUUUCGAAACGCUGUCAACCGCUACCAACCGCAAAAGCUGCGUUUGCGGGUGGUAGCGGGGAAACCAAUCAAGCUCAUAAUGGCAAGUUAGAUCACCUCCUCCAUCGGAAAUUUCAAUGAAUAUUGUCAUAAAAAAAGAUUUUGAAAGAGAAAUGGGAGAUUCAUCUCUUAAUCAAAAGACUAGAAAAAAUCUUAGACAUUGUUAAAAACACAUGCAUAAUUUUAUUUAGAAAUAAUUAAAUUUAGUAUAUCAGAAAUAAUAAUAAUAACAUAUUGCUCAAAAACUAAAAAAAAACUUAAGCAAAACCAUGGAAAGAUUCUUUAUACACGUGCCAGCAGGUUUCCAAACCACAUGUUCAAGCACAAUGUAAUACUAUAUUUAUAUAGAGUAGAUCCACAUAUUAAAAAUGAUAAAGAAUACUUGUUCAAGCACAAUGUAAUACUACAUGUCUAUAGAUUAGAUCCACAUAUUAAAAAUGAUAAAGAAUAGUUUGUUUCUUCUUCUUUUUCUGUAAAAAAAUAAAAAAUUUGGUUUCUACUGUGAAUUAAUGUAUCGCUGCUUAGCCGGUCUGACUUCGGUCCAAAUGAUUAAUAUAGUAUGUUGUAAUAGACAAUCAGUUCACUCUCUAUCAUUAGUCGAAGAUAUUCAAAUUCGAUCAAACUGAGAUGAUAACUUUCAAAUUACUCUUUCAAAUUACUCUAUCUAGUAGCAUACUCUCGUGCCAGAACCGACCAAAUAGUCUAUAGAGUUUAUAAAAAAUUAGAAAUAGUUAAACUUUAGAAAUAGACAGCAUCCUGAUAAACCAGAAAUGUCGUUCGCAAUGAUAUUUUAUAGGGAAUAUUUUAUAUUGGAGUACAUAAAAUAGCCUUCUCCACAAAAACAUAUGAUAUAGAUUGCUCUACAAAAGAUACUCGAAAAUUUCAAAUAAGACACAUAAUCAUAUCAUAAUAUCAAUAUCGAGGUAACAAAUAAUUCAACUAAGGUAACUCAUAUGUCAUAUUAGUUGUUCCCCGUUUGCCUCCAAUUUCCCAACCAAAUUAACACAAUAUCAUUUUAACUCAACUUAGAUCCGAGCUUAAAGCUCUUGCAUCUAUACUAUUAAAAGGGAAGGAGUUUUAAAAAAUCUACCUAUGAAAAGUUGUUGGACCCUUUCAUUAAACUUAACUUUUUUUUUGGUCUCACCUUAUAUUUCUCUAACCAUGCAAUAGUCAAUUACCUUAUAUUUCUCUAACUAUGCAAUAAUCAAUUACCUUAUAUUUAUCUAAUUUAGUUUAAUAACAUAUUCUAAAUAAAUAUAUUCUAAAUAUAUUGUUAUAAUGAUUUUUGAUAAGAAUAUAUUAUAGAUGCGAUUGAAAAUUUAUAUUAUUAAAAGAAAAUUUUUUUAAAAAUAUUUAUAAAAAAAUUUAUAACAUCUAUAUAAAACUCUUUAUUUUUUAUCCUACCAUUAACUACAAUAACUAUAAAUAAUUUAAAUAAAUCCUAUUAUUAUUUCUCAUUUUGUAUGAUACACUUCUCUAAUUAUUUUUCUUAUUAUCAUCCAAUGUUAUUGUUGUUAUUCAAUAACGUUAUAUACAUCAUAUAUUAUGCUCAAAGAUGGAUAUAUAAUAUUUAGAUAUCAAUUAUUAAAAUGAAAGCAUAUAUCAUACAACAUAUUAUAUCAUGUCAUCUAACAUUAUAUAAUUCUAAAUAUUUACAAAAUCAAAUUUAAUAAAAAAAACACUUUAGCAAAUCAUUUGGUAAAACAAAAUUAUAUAUAUUUACGUUAAAUUAUUUUUAUUACAUUAAUAUAUUAGAAGUUUCAUUCAUCUCUUAAAAUAUUAUUGAAGAUUAUUUUUUUCCUACCAUAUAAACCAAAUACCGGGUCACACUUGAUUGCAUGUUUUUUCGAAGUUUGCAUGCUUUAAAUUAACGAGUUUUCAUUAAAUCUAAACCAGCUUAUGUACAAGUCAUCGUGUUUACUGGUUCGACGACGGGUCCAAACUUAUUAUAAAAGUAUUGUUCUCAUCUAAUUGAAAAUAAUUUAUUAUAAAAUAACAGACGCACUGAGUCUAAUCAAUCCAUAUAUUUUUUUUUGAAAAAAGUAAUCAAACGAUUAAAAAUAUAAUUACAUAAUAAUAAUUUUUUUGACAUAAUAAUAAUUUUGUAACAUAAUAAUGUAUAAUAAAACUAAAAUACUAAUUCAUAUCAUAUAUUUUUAUCAACUGAAAAAUAACCCGCGCUUUUAAGCGCGGGUCAAAAUCUAGUAACCUGUUUUAAAACUCUUGCAUAACUUGUUGGGACUCGCAUUAAGAGACCUUUCAAUUAUAAGAGAAUUUUUAAUGGUACACAAUAUGUUUUUCUAUAAUUCACUUUAAAAUAGAACAAUUAUAUUAUAAAAUUAAAUUCGUUUCAAUAGUUCACUUUAUAAUAACGGAGGUUUAUUGGUAAGUGAAUUCUCAUGAAUUUUGAAAAUUUUUAGAUUUCAUUGUUAUUGGUUCUUGGAUUUCAAAAAUUUUAGUAGAAUCCAUUGUUAUUGGUUUAAGAAUUUUUUAAAAUCCAUUCAAAUCCCUUAUUAUUCAAAAAGUUUAGUUAUUAUUGAUUUUCUGAUUCCAACAAAAUCUAGUGUUAUUGGGAGAUGAAUUCUAUUCAUUUUUACUCAUAAGACUCAACUUUCAAAAUAUCAUAUGUAACCUUGUGAUUUUCAAAAUCCAUGUGAUAAAAAACAAGAAAAAAUAAUAAUUAUUCUUACCAAAUAUCUAUUGCACCUUAAAUCCAAAUUAUAUGUCCAAAACUAUAAUUCAUUACAUAUGCUUUAACAUUUUAGAAUAUAUAAUUAUUUUUAUAAAUAAUUAUCAUUUUGAAUAUAAAUAUUAAUAAUUACAUUUAUAAAUAUUAAUAAUUUUAAAAUAUAUAUUUUAAAAAAAUAGUUUCAAAAGAAAUUCUGAAUUUCAAAAAAAGCAAGAGGUAAAAUCGUCUUUUGCCUUUUUCAUGAAAUUUUUUUUGGUCAUUUUUUCUCUUUUAAUGCUUUUUUUUGACAAAAACUUUAAAAUGUAUAUUUAAGAAAAAUUAUCCAUUUUUGUAUGUAUCACUAUUGUUUUCUUUUUAAUUUGAAAGAAAAAAUAAAUAAUAAUGCUAUAUGAUUUAGAAAAUAAAUAAAUUGUAUAUUUACUUUACAAAAAGAAUGAUAGAAAAUAGAUAAUACAAAUUCAUGAAAUUCUAUACUAAUCCAAAAAAGUUAUGAUCAAAUUUUAUAAGUCAAUGUAUAUAAAUUUUCACAAUCCACAUAACUUUUAAAAUCUAUCAACUCUUAAAAUUUACAAACUCUAUACAAAUUCAUCUUCCAAUAACCCCCCUAAAUCUAUUCUAUAAUAGAGUGACAUAUAAAAUAGUAUUGUUUUUACCUCCAAUACAGAGUAAAAAUACAACAUUACUCUAUAUUUUUUUAUAACUUAACAUUACUCUAUUAUAGAGUGAACCAUUGAGACAAAUAAUUCUAUUAUAGAGGGAAACAUUAAACAAAUUUAAUUCUAUAAUAGAGUUAUUAUAUUUUAGAGUGAAAUAUAAAAAAAAAUAUUAUGUAUCAUUAGAAAUAUAUCAGACCCAUUGUCGACACAACAACGAGACUGUUUCUAUUUCUCAAAACAUGAUAUAACAAAGGUGGUGUUUUUCUGUCUGUCUGAUAUCUGAGAGCAACUCCAAUGGUGUUACCCACCAUUGGAGUCCUUAGGAAUAUAAUAGAUUUUUUUUUGCUUUUUAAAUAGUUAAGGAUUUGACUCUAAAAUGUAUGUCCAAUGGUGUUACUCAAUAUGGAAUCCAUAGCUGAUCUAUCUAUUACAUAUAAUUUCUUUACAAUUUCCAACUCAAAACAAGCCAUGAAUUCAAAGAAGCAGGCAGGUGUUUACCCAAGAUACAGGAAAAAAAAAAAAGACAAAAGGAAACAAUACGAGUGAAUCGAACAUGUGACAUCUUUUGAGUGGCCUGUCAACUGCUUGAGGACAGAAGGCUCUUGCGAGAGACUACAAACAGUUAAGGUCCCAUCUGAUGCUCCAUAUGCAAGUAGAUCAGAACUCAUAUGGCCAAACUUCAGAACAGUAACUACACAAGAGUGAAGGAAAAUCACAAACUAAGUCGAUUAAAUCCAAAAGAAGAUGUAAGAAAAUACCAGAAGAUUUGCAUUGGUCGAAGAUGCAAUGCAUUCCCACGAAAGAAUAAGCAUGUUCAAAACCACCACCACCACGGCGAAAGGAAUGAUCACCAUCACUGAAACUCGAGCUAAAACUCAAUCUCUGGCUCGAAACCUGAUUAGCACUCCGUAAAUCCUAUGAAUGAAUAAAAAAAAAAGUUUACUUACUCUACUUACUCUAUAGUUACAAGAAACUGAAUAUUGCAAGCAAGUCUACUUACUCUACUAGAACUGAAGCUCUCUGCUUCAAACUGAUGGGAGAGUGGACCUGGUGAAGGUAACCAUCGACCACUGUUCCCUGGGAUCGUGACCUUGUUGGGCUUGUUGGUGGAGCCGUUGCAACGCGCGAGGAAAGCGCGUAUGUGCUUAGCAGGGGAAGGAGGGGGAAAGGUCUCUUGAAGAUGCGGAGAGGCGUUGAGCUCGCGCUCGCCGCCGAGGGUUUGAAUAGGCUAGGCAAAGGGCUUGGACUGUAGAAAGGAAAGCCUGAAGAUUUCACCGCUGGAGUUUGAUCGGAGGAAAAACAGAGUUUCAGAGGAAGAGAUAGACUACACGCAAAAGAGGAGGAAGAAGAAGAAGGAGAGAAGCGAGAUUCGUUACAUAUCCUUUGCCAUUGCAUCUCAAAUCCUUCAACGAAACAACAAUCAGAUAGCAAGCUCAACGGUUUGAAGUGAGAGGUUAAAGAGAGAGAGAGAGAGAGAGAGAGCUCACAUAGCGACGAGAGAUGGCGCCGGAUUCGGACUUCCGGGGGAGAAGAAUUCGGCGGAUUCCGAUGUACUGUGGAUCUGAUUCGGCUGUUACCGGCUGCAUCAUACAGCUCAGAAACUCGAAAUCUUUUGAUGGCUUCGGCUUCUCUUCCCCUCACAAAACACAUCCCUUUCCCGAUCCAAUCAGACGUUGCCAGCGCAUCAAGGAUCAACCACAAAUAAAUCCUUCACUAAGGAUUCAACCUCAGCGUAACGUCAAGUUUAAUUAUUAUUUUAUUUUUAAUGCAUAAGAAUUAGCGCUAAGAAAUAGCUAAUAUCCCGCGUUGCAGCUGGUCUGAUAUACUCCUAUUGACUAAAUAAAUUAAAUAAUAAAAGGUUGAUUUGAACAAAACCAAGUAACCAACUAAUCACAAAUACCUUCAGAGUUUAAUGCCACUCAGCACUCACUUUUAAUGAAUGUCAUUAGAGAUGCCUAAGAUGAUAGGUAUAAUCACAUAUAUGAUAAAGGAAAAAAGUCUCUUGGAAGGCCGGUCGAGAUUGAGAACCAAAAUUGACAGACAUCGAGGGAGAUCACACAUAAAAAUGUACAAAAGCUUUGAAGAUAUAAGUGUGCAUAUAUUUAUUUUUUAAAAUGUUUAAAACAACUUUUUGACAUGACGUUUUACUUUAUUUUACGUAAAGUCUCUUUGUUCUUUAAAAAAAAAGAUAUAAUACAAUUAAAUUGAUGAUUUUUCGUAUCUAUGAGUAUCUACCUUACUUUCCUAAAUAAAACAAUCGUACGCCAUUUUGCUAGUUACCCUCAUCUCGCAGUUGACUCGAAACAAAAUUCCCCAAAAUAGCACAUGAUAUUAGCCAUCACAUAAGUAUUUUAACUAAUUAAUUGCAAAUCUACCAAAUUAUAAUAAAUUUGAUUCUCGUCAAUAGAAACCAAAAACCUACCAAAAACUUCACUUAUAAAAACAGAAAAGAGGAAAUUUCCGGGAAGUUGCGUAAGUGGACCCCAACUUAAACAAAAACAACAACACAUACAUAGUCGCCACCUAUUUAUUGAGAACCUGACACAACACACACAGAUGUAAUGACAUUCAAACGUAUUAAGCUAUGGGAAGUAUCGCCGAGCCAUGGGGAAUCUCGGAGAGCGAAAACGCAAACGGGACACCAAAGGGUUUGAGCAGGGAGCUGCGACAUGGGAAAACGGCACACAACAUGUCGUCAUCGUCGCUAAGGAAGAAGUCAGACCUGCGAUUGAUUCAGAACGUUCCAUGCAAAACUCUCAAGAACGUUCUCUCUAAUCUCCAAGAAGUCAUUCUUGGUACUAAACUCGCUCUCUUGUUUCUCGCGAUCCCUCUCGCCGUUAUCGCCGAUUAUUACCACUACGGUCGCGUAAGCUCCUCUUUCAUUCCUCUCUCUCAAUUUUGGUUAAAUUUUCCAGAGAAACUAGGCGAUUAUUGUUCAGUUUCCAAAUGAAUUCCCUGAGUUAAAAUAAUAUUUAGUUUAAGGGAAUAUGAACUUUCUCAAACCAGUUUUUAUUUAAUUUCAAAUUAUUUUACAAACUAAUUUUAAAUAGUAUUACAUCUGUGGAAGAGUAUUAAAUAAUUUGUCCAAAUCCCGUGAGUAAUUUUAUGGUUACAUAAUAAUUAAUUUGCUUUUAUGGUUCAGAAUUUUAAUGUAUCAUGGCCACGUAGUUUAUCCGUUACCUUUAUUUAGUGCGUUGCGUGAAAAAGAUAAAGACAAGUUUAUCUAUUAAUAAAAUACGUUUCUUUUGUUAAAUGUGCGACAGCCGUUGAUAUUUGGACUGAGCUUGAUAGGUCUGACACCUCUUGCUGAGCGAGUUAGCUUUUUGACAGAGUAAGUACUUAUCCAGUUAUCCUCUACAACAAUUCCUUAAUUAGUUUCACUGAUUAAGGAAUAAUUUUAGUAUUUUAUUUUAUUUUAUUUAGUAUCUAAAUCUAACUAACUAAAAUUAUAAAUGAAAUUUGGUUGUGUUGACUAAAUGAGAUGAUUGUUUGAUUAUGUAUUGUUGGUGAAAAUCACUUAUUUACAUUUUUUUUUGCAAUUUUGAAAUGAUGUUAAAAUUUUCUGUUUCUUUAAUAAAAAAAAGUACUUAUAAUAAAAGAUUGUUAUGUGAUUUUAUGCAUUUAAUAAAAUACGUUAACAGCUUUUAUUAUAAACUAGAAUCGUUAUCCGCGCUACGCGCGGAAAAUACUUUUAAAUAUGUUAAUUUUAAGAUUUUAAGAUGGAAAUCUCUUAAAAUAAUGGAAAUAUAAUUUCUAAUAUUAAUUAAGAUUUGAUUGGAUGUUGAUGAAGAUAGAUUUAGUGCACUUAUUAUAUCCAAAGGCAUAAUACAAUAAUUUGCUAGGAUACUAUAAAGAAACAUAAAUAGGUUGGAGAGUGUAUUUUUUUCUCUAUUGAUUUAAUUUGUCUUGAUGUUUUUGUUUCGUUGAAUAGGUGCAGUUGCUCUUGAGUUCAUUAUUUGGUUGACUUCUUGUUCGUUCUUUGAAGUGCUUAACAUAUUUGAUUGAGCUGUUAAAGUAAAGUCUUGUUGCUAGUGAUGAAGCGAGUUGUAAUUUUUCUGUAAUAAUCAGUGUAUUAUUUGUAUGAACAAAAAAUUAAAUAUAGAUCGUUUACCUUUAGAUAGUCAUGGGAUGAUGCUUGUGAUGAUAACAACUUAAAAUUUAUGAGCUUGUGAUGAUAAAAUUAUUUAAGGUAAUUCUUUCAAUUAGAUCAUUUUAAGUUUUAUCACAAAAAUAAAUUUCAAAAACUAAAAUGAUCAAAAUAGUUUUUUUUGUGAAUUUUUUUUUAAAUUUGAAAUCAUAUUCUUAAAACCCCACUCUUCAACUCUAAAUCUCAAACCUUAAACUCUAAACCCUAAACCUUAAACCCUAAAACAUAUCCCUUAACUCUAAACCCUAAUGUCUAGAUUAAUUAACUCUAGGGAUAUAAGUGUAUAUUUACUUAUUUUGAUAAAAUAUUUAAGUCUAUUUUGUUCAUUUUUAUUUUUAAGGUUUAUAUUUGUGACAAAUACUUUUUAGGUAUAUCUUAGGGAAUUUCUCAAUUAGUUAUUUAAAUAUUAUUCUCACAUAUUAGUGAUUUUUUAUGUCAAAUUUGUAUUUUGUAUAUUUAAUAACACCUUCUUGUGUGUCAUUCUUUGGUUUUAAUAAAGAUUAUUCUUGGGUCUACCCCUACCAAUGUCGUUAUUUCAUUUUCGAUAUUUUUAGAAAAAUAAAAUAAAAUAAAAUAUUGUCAAGUUAUAUUAUGUUUUUAAAAUAAAAAAGAUAAAAAUUAAAAAAUAAAAGUAAUUACAAAAAAACAGAAUUUACAAAAAAAAAUAUUUUUAACAUCGUCAGCAAAAUACUAAACUCUAAACCUUAAAUUCUAAACCCUUAGGUAAAUCAUAAUUCCUUGGAGAAAUCCUAAACUAUAAAUCAAAACACUAAACCUUAAUUCCUAAACACUAAAUUUUAACCCUAAACCUUAAAUCUUAAAUUUUAAACUCUUGAGUAUUUAGUGUUAAGUGUUUUUUUAUUUAAAUAAUUAGGAUUUGUUCAAAGGUAUAGGGUUUACCUAAAGAUUAAAAAAUAUUUUUCAAAUUUUGUUUUUAUAACUUCUACUAUUUUUUUUCAUUUUUACCUUUUAUUUUUAAAACAUAAUAUAAAUUGACAAUAUUUUGUUUUUUUUUAAAUAUAUCCAAUAUGAAAUAACAAAUUUUAUUGGUUGAUUAACCUAGAUGUUCACUCUAGGGAUAAAACCAAAAAUAAGUCUUCAAUAAAUGUGUUUGUCAUUUCAUUUUAUUGCUACCAACAUGAUUUUUUUAGUGAUCGAUGAUAAUGCAACUUUAACAUUAUAUAUUAUAUUUUAUCUUAUAUUUUGUAUUUAGAUUUUCCAAUCUUCAUGUUGUCAUUUAUUUUAGAAUCAUUUUCAAUAGGUAAUAGGUUUAAAAGAUGUAAAUAAUACUAUGUUGUAAAUUUAGACUUUUUAGCGCAACUGAACACUAUAAAUUAUGAAAAUUAUAAAUUAAAAUAGAUUGUUUAAUGAUUUUAUUUUACUAAAUAUUUUUCUGUGUUUAUUUGUUGUUUUAUUUCAUAUUUUUAAAAUUUUAUUGCUUUAUUCUUUAAUUGCAGAGAAUUGCUAUUUCCAAUUUUGUACCUUCUUUCUAUCUUUUUUUUUGUUAUUAUUUAAAGGAUCUAAUACUUUUUAGUAGUGUAUAUGAUAUAUACAAAUUUGUUUACUAUUUUGCUAUGAUGGAAAAAAUGUUAUGAAAAUAUUAAUGUGACUGAAAAUAUAUAUCAAAACUAUAUUAUUUAUUUUGAUGACAUAUGAAAAUUUAUUUGUAAAUAAGUUGUAUGUUGCUAUCUGUAUAUAUCAUGUAUUCACUCGUUAAUGAUUUGAUAUUUAUUUAUUAUUUGGACGUCAUUUCUAUUGCUUUCUUGAACUAACUAUUAGUGAUGACUCAUUUUUCAGAACUUCUUUUUUGAACGAAGGCAUCAUUUUCUUAAAACUUUCAUUAUGUUCUUCUUAAUUAAACAAAUCUUUUAUUAUAUUUUUAGCUUCCAUUUCUUUCUUCUUCCCUCAACACUGAUUACAUCAUUUUGUCUCUUUAGCUAAAAAAAAAAUCUAGAAUUCCACCGAUUCUAGAUCAGCGUGAGGUUCGAUUGUGGUUCCAAAACCUAGAGUUCCUGAGAUUCAGACGAAGUGAUAACAUGUAAGGCGAAGCCUCGGAUCUGUAACCACCAGUCAUCCAUAACACGCAACGAAUGAUUCUGCAAUUUGAAAGGUCUCCUUUGUGUCUACUAAUCUAAAGAUCCGAGUCUGAGAUAUGUGAAAAAGGACGAUGAUGAGCUUAAGUUAACCCUGAAGUUGAGAUUCAAUCAUUCUAAAAAUUCCAACUAUACAUACAAAAGGAAAGUUCUUCCAUGAGAUUAUUUAAUAAAGGAAAGAUGUAAAAUGAUUCUCACAUUUCCUUCGGUUUCAAAACCUUCAUAGCUUGACAGACUGUAGAGAAGGACCAUGACUUGCCUUUUUGAUCAGUUCUUUGUAUUCCUAGAUAACAACAUAUUGAUGGAGUGAUAUAUUCUUGGUCUUGUUCCUUUUGAUCUUAUCUUCCACUGAAUCUCCUCUUUAAUGAAUCUGACAAACAUUAAAAAACAGGCAACGAAGUUGACUUUCGUUUUCGGUCUUAGUGGUUCGAUCCGAUAGCUAUUAAACUUAAGCGGCAUUCCUCUAAAAUACAUAAGAUGAGACUUUGUUUAACUGAAGAAGAUGAUGUCCUGAUGACAUAAACUUAACACGUUUUACAUAGUAUUUUUUAGAUUAUCACGUCGGAACUAUCAAAUGAUGCCUUAGAGAAUUACCAUAAUAUCACAUCAAUAUCUCAGUCACAAAUCUAAACACAUCAAGGGGAUCCUAUGUUAAUUCACAUUUAGUUUGAGAGUUCAUUUUAAGACUAAGAACGCAAUAACUGAAUCAGUAUCCAUAUUACUGAUUCAAUACUCCUAAAACACGUACAGUAGGUAAAGGAUACAGUGAUCUAGGAAAAUAAUUUAUGGUGGAUCCAGAAAGAAGGAGAUCAAAGAACGAACCAGAGUUAGCGUUGUACUAAUAGUGAUGAUCAUGAUAGCAGGAAGUGAUUGUAUUUUGUUGUGUAGGCUGAGGCUGAGAAGUACCCUGACAGGCACCUUCGUAAGGCGCAGAUUGGUAAUACCUAAUCAAUUUGAUCACCAGGAAAAAAAGAGAUUUAGAGUCGUGCCAGAAGAUCAAAAGGUUCAUCAAAAGGUUUACAAUAUUACAUACCUGGAGGAGGAUACGAUUCAUGCGCUUUAGCUUUGGAACUGUUAGGCUUACAUCGCCAUUACUUCAGUUCAGGGGAUCUUCAGGUUUAUUUGGAAGUAAGUUUAUAAAGGAGGAGAAAGAAAGGGAGGUGAGACGAAUUCAUUAAGAGGGAGUGAAGAACAUAAUUGAUUGUUGAAGAGAGUAAUGGAGAUUUAUUGCCUGCUAUAGGAAACGGAGAAGACGGAGUCUCUAUGGAAGAAACAAUCAACGCUUCAUUAGGAAUUUAGAAUUUUGAGAUGUGGGCUCGAUCUGGGCCAAUCUUUAAUAUUGUAAACCCACACGGAGAAGUUUAUUGUUAUUCAUUUUUAGACUGAUAUGACGUGUCAAAAAAUAUGUUCUUCAUUGGUAGAUUUUUUAGUCCUACGUGGAGGGGCUGAGAGGGGAGGAUAUCCCCCUUUUAGUAUAGGAUAGAUUAUAUAAGAAUCAAGUAUCAUAAAAUGGAAUUUGUAGUUACAGAUCGAUCAUACAACCAUAUAUUUGAAAGAAAAAUAUACAACCAUAUAUCACAUAAAGAUUAUAAUAGACCAUGAUUAUUCUCCCUUUACCCGUACUGUCAUAAUGAUUGUUCUCCCUUCACCCGUGCAGGCAACUAGCUUUCUACACCGGCCCAACAGGUAACACAUUCAUACAAAUUGAACUAUCAAUUACAGUAUGUAAAUGCAAUCUCGGUAAUGUGCUUAAAUGUUUCAAUGUAUUUACUUUGGCAGUGGGCGGUUUGUUGAACGCCACUUGUGGAAACGCGACGGAGCUUAUAAUAGCGAUACUAGCGUUGGCCAAUAACAAAGUGGCAGUUGUUAAAUACUCUCUGUUGGGUUCAAUUCUCUCAAACCUUCUCCUGGUUCUCGGCUCUUCCCUCGUCUGUGGUGGAAUUGCCAAUAUCCGCCGCGAGCAGCGGUUCGACCGGGUAUAUAUAUGCUCUCCCCCUUUGUAGAUUCCGGUUUAAUUCUUAUGAUAAUUUGACAAUAACCAAUACCGAAUUUAGUGUAACCAAACCUAACAUAAUUAAUUAUAAUAUAUAAGAAUGCAUUGAAAUACAGUAAGAAUUAUCCAAUUUUUCCAAAUAAUUCGUAGCGGUUAUCAAAGCUGAUGUGAUUAUUUUUAAUGUGAAUUAUUCUCAUCAUUGUAACAGAAACAAGCUGAUGUGAACUUCUUUUUGCUGCUCAUGGGUCUGCUAUGUCAUUUACUCCCAUUGCUGCUAAAAUAUGCAGCGACCGGAGAAGCAUCGACCUCUCUGAUCAACAAAAUGUCGCUUAGCCUGUCCAGGACAAGCAGCAUCGUCAUGCUUAUUGCUUACAUUGCUUAUCUCAUCUCCCAGCUCUGGACUCACCGCCAAUUUUUUGAAGCACAAGAGGUAACUAAAAGUUAUAAUUUGCUAGACCAAGUGGAAUGUGAAUAAAACUAUAUUAUAUGUUCAAUGGAAUUCAGGAUGACGAGGAUGAUGCGUAUAAUGAUGAAGUGACCGUUGAAGAAACUCCGGUGAUAGGGUUUUGGAGCGGAUUUGCUUGGCUAGCUGGGAUGACACUCGUCAUCGCAUUGCUAUCAGAGUAUGUUGUGGCCACAAUCGAGGUAAUUAAUUAAAGUUUAUAUGUUUAAACUCCAUGAAUUAUAUAAGAAAACAACAACAAUAUUAAUAUGGAGAUUAUAAAUAUUUGGUCAGGAUGCAUCGGACUCAUGGGGACUAUCAGUGAGUUUCAUAAGCAUCAUAUUGCUUCCCAUUGUUGGAAAUGCCGCUGAGCACGCUGGAGCCAUCAUCUUCGCUUUCAAAAACAAGCUCGUGAGUUAUAUUUUGCUUUACAACGUUCUAGACUGUGGCAUUUUGCUUGUCUGAGUUUGUUUAUGCUUAGUGUAAAUUUUUUGUUAAAAUAUAACCUACAAUAUUUAGAAUUUUUAAACAAAAUCUGCUUGUUGCAAAAAUAUUUGAUAGAAAAGAGAUGAAUAUUUUGCAAAAAUACUUAACAAAUUGAUCACAAUGUUGCAGGACAUAUCUCUAGGGGUCGCGUUGGGCUCUGCAACUCAGAUUUCUUUGUUUGUGGUAAGUAAUGAAAGAUUCGAUGAAAUGUUUACGUUCGAUGUAACAAGAAAUCUAAGACGAUAUUAACGAGUGUGUUUUCUCAGGUCCCUUUGAGUGUUAUCGUUGCGUGGAUCAUGGGAAUCAAGAUGGAUCUCAACUUCAACACCCUUGAAACAAGCUGUCUAGCCCUGGCAAUUAUCAUCACAGCCUUCACUUUACAGGUUAACAUUUCUCCUUACACUUACAAUCAAAUAUUAUAUUAGGAUAACAAUAUGAAUACAUCUAAUUUUAAUAUAUUUUACUUUAUAAUAAUCGUUUGUAUUUUUUGGGAUGGUUAUUAGGAUGGAACAUCUCAUUACAUGAAGGGACUUGUUCUAUUGUUGUGCUAUGUCAUCAUCGCCGCAUGUUUCUUCGUCGACCAAAUUCCUCAGCCAAAAGGUACCGGCCUGGAGAUGCAACCCAAGAACAGUGAGGGAGGAGGAUUUGUCUCUGCUUAGAAUGGAUAGAAAGAAAUCAUCAAAUGACUUGGGAAACAAAGAAAGACAAAUAUGAUUUGAUUGAUUUGUAAGACAAAACGGGAGAGACUUGUUAGAGAGAUUCCUCAGCAUGAAUGAGAGCUAGUGAGUGAGGUAGCUUGGUGAAAACAGGUUUCUUUGAUGUUUUAUAAGAGGGUUACAUUUGUUUCUUUUUGUUUUGUUGGGAUUUUAUGUUUAAUCUUGUAUAUUAUAAAAACUAUAUAUAAAAGAGCUUAGCUGGUUAUCUCAUAAACCCAACCAAUCAGGCUACAAAAAUUUAUUUGGUUGGUUGAUGAAUUGUGGUUCUAAUUUACUAUUGUUAUCUAGCUUAUGACAUGUUCAAAAAGACUAGUCUGCAUUAAAUUUGGUAAUUACAUUCGACUUUAAAAAAAAUCAAGAAACACAAGAUGCAUUAGAAGGAGAGUUUAGUCAUGUUACAUAGUUUGGUACAUUGUUUGUUGUGGAUAAUAAACUGAAACAAACCUCCUUGUUGAACCGCUAAGAACUGUUUCGCUUUCUUAGGAAAGUAAAAAAAAAAGUACACACCAUUUGGAUCUAUAGUUGUUAACACACAUUUAGUCUUCUUCCUCGUCAUCAUCAGCAUCAUCAUCGUCAUCUUCAGCAUCAUCGUCAUCUCCUGCCUUUCCCUUAUCUGGCUGCGCUUCCUGCAGAGAAACAUUAAGCAAAACUCUUCAGAAACCUAUAACUCAACAAGCAAAACACAAUGGGUAGCGUACAAAACUCUGCAUUGUUUAUAGGAAUUGUUACCUCCUCACUAGCUUCAUCUUCAUCAUUCACCUCAGACCUAGACUUUUCAGAUUCAUCACUCCCUUCCUCCUGCACCCAUUGCAAGAAGAUCAGAGUUAAGACACGAGAAAUGUCUUCUAUGCGAGAUAUGGCUUGAAGGCUUACCAAGUUUUUGUUGUAUGCAUCCAUAAGCUUUUCAUAUUCAGCUUUCCUCUUCGCAGCUUUCUCUUCAUAUGGAGCUUUUUCCUUCAAAAGGGAAGAGGGUGAAAACUAAUGGUCAGUAUCACACACUAGUCACCUUUUUGAUCUAAAGAUCACAAUAGAGUAUUCACAAGUGAUGUGUUUGUACGGUUAGCAGAUAUAUCCAUCAAAGUAUAAGACUUACAUCUUGAGACAUUGACUUCCAUUUCUGACCUGCAGCUUUCCCAACCUUCACAAGAACAAGCAAAGGUAAAGACUAUGAGGACUUGAUCCAAACAAAGGAUUUAAAGUACAUGUAACACUUUCAAAGGAAUCUGCCAAUUGCUUACAGCAGAUACAGCCUUCACAUUUGGAUUAUCUUUCUUGAAAGUUAUCCUAAAAUCUUCUCUGAAACAAAAGAAACCAAACCAGUAACAUUAGAACAUAUUAAAGAAACAACAAAAAAAAAAGUGAAAGCAAGGAUCCAAGAAUACUACUAACAGGAAGACAAAGAAGGCACUAGAAGCUCUUUUGGGUUUGUUAGGAUCCUUCUUGGCCUUCUUCUCUUUACGAGUCUCUCCCUUCUCAGCCGGUGCCUUCCUCUUUCCCACCUUUCUGAAAAAUUCAAAAAAGCCUUCACCUUUAUAUUUUUGAUGAAACCACAAAAGACAAGAUGCUUUAAAGGACGCCGAACCUGUCAUCAACAGGCUUCAAGGCUUCCUUAGUGUUCUUAGCUUUAUCUUUCCCCUUUGCUGUCUUCAUCUUGGAAACUGUAUAGAACCAAGCAAAUUGAAACAAGUUCAUAGCAAAAACUCAACAUAGAACAUAAUAAUAAUAUCAAAACAACAAAACAAUAGAGAGAAUCAAUUACCCUAGAAGAGUACUCAAGAAGGAUGGCAGAUAUGUUCGUUUCAGACAAACCUAAGCAGAACCAAAAGAGAAAGACGGUCGGAGAGAAAGAGAUGCUUAUUACCGGUUACCUGUUUAACCUAGGAAGAGUGCACAAGAUCCCAUACGAUUUGACCUGCUAUAGGCGGUGAGAUGAUAAUAGUAAAGGAAGGUCGUUGAUUUGAACGGUUGCGAUCAAACGGUUACCCGCCAAAUAGAUGAUACGAUAAGGAUGUGACGGAAGUCACGUGCGGGUCUAAGAUGGGCCGGUCUUUUAUUCAAGGUAAGGUUAGUGUGGGGUAUAUUAUGGCCCAGACUUGAUCCAAUACCUAAUAUGAAUUUAAGUGGUAACAACACCAAAUUUCACACUUGCAAACCGUAUUGACUUUUCAAUCAAUUUCGAGAAAAUCAAACCAGACCAAACCAAACCGAUCAUUCCAAAAAUCUCAAGAUUAUGUACACACAUUUUUUAAUGACUAGAAAGUUCUAAGUUCAUAAAUUUGUAUACCUGAGUUUCGUAUUUUUUACGCUACAUUUACCUUUGAUUGUAACGUCGAGAGAAAACUAAGACUCCAGAUUGAAUGUGACUCAUCAUCAAUAAUCAAAUAUUAUACAAAAUGCGUUUUUCUUUUACCUUUUCCUGAUAUUUGAGAUUACAUCAUACUAUUUGGUAACGAGUAGUCACAAACGAUUAAACAGAAAAAAAAGGAACUAGACGUUGUUCCAACUCUCUCCUUUGGAGGCCGGUUCGGUUUUUAAAGUGUGAAGCAUGAAACUACAAGCCUCCACGGCUUCUCCAACCGUUAAGAACAUCCAUUCUUUUCCCAACUUGUCAUCGAUGAAUUUUGAUCUGGUCAGUUUCUUUACAACUUCUCCUUUUGGAUUUGCCAAUACUAGCUGAGAAUUAAAAAAAAAAAUAACGUGAGAAAUAUUAUUAUACGGCAACACAUCUUAAAGAAGUAUUAUUAUACGACUUGCUACGUUACCUUCAACGCUCUUCGGUCAAUGAUUUUCUUAAUUUCCUCCAUCAUGCUUAUACCACUCGUGUCGAUAUUACCGACAGCUGUUUUGCUCAACACGCACACACAAAGUAAGCCUUGAUCAAAGACAAUGUCAGAGAAAAUCAAGAUAUGUAAUUACCGGACAAAUCGAGUAUAACAUAUUGUAAACUGUUUUCUCCUGAUGUUUUGACCCUUUCUUCUUCUUCAUUGAUCCACCUUGUGAUUCUGUGCCCAAUAUAUAAAAGAAUGGAAAAAUAAAUAACUAACAUCCAUAUUUGGCAUGUAUUUAUGAAUUAGGGUUAAGGUUACCUCUCACGCAAGUAUCCAGCGUUGGUAAAGUAGAUCGGUGCAUCAAUCUCCAAGAUGAGAAGACCAGGAACCGUUCUUGAGUAAGGAUACUGUUCAGUGUUUCUAUAGAUCAUGCUGUUUGGUAUGUUUCCCUUUAUCGCAGUUCUCGGCCUUGACAUGAAUAGCAACAACCUUGCUAUAGAUAUCGCCACCUUCACCACACGAAAAACAAAAAAAACAAAUUACGUUUAAACAUGUAUAAAAAGUAAUCAUUUUCUUAUAAAUUAUUUUGUAUAAUGUAAAUGUUGCGCUAAAGUAUACACUUACUGCUACAACAAGUCCGAUCUCGACACUACCGAAUACGACCCCAAAGUAAGCGCUCAUGCAGACAAGGAAGUCGAAUUUGUCGACAUUCCAGAGAUGAAUAGCAGCUUGGUAGUCGAUGAGUCCAAGCAUUGCGGAUAUGAUGAUGGAGGAGAGGACGACGAGUGGUGUGUAGUGGAAUAGCGGCGUAAGGAAGAGCAAUGUGAACAUAACCGCAAUUGCCAUCACUAUGUUCGACACCACAGUCUUACAACCCGCGUUGAAGUUCACGGCCGAUCUCGAAAAUGGUCCUAGUAGUGUGAUACGUUGUAAUUAAUAUUUUUUUUAAAAAAAUCAUGCUAUAUGUAUAUAGUUAAUGUGAUAAUAUAGAAACUUUAGAAUGUGUGUUCGUACCGGUUGUGAGGUAACAAGAUGUGAGGGAACCAACGAUGUUCAUCAUUCCAAAAGCGAGCAUUUCUUUGUUUCCGUCUAUGUUGUAGUUCUUAAACAUCGCAAAGCUCCUUCCCACAGCGAUUCCUUCCUACAUUUAUACAUGAAUUUCACUUUAUUUUGGAUGGGUCUUUUUCAAUUGCUUAUUAUGAGUUAUAUAGGUUGAUCGGAUUGGUUAGUUUCCUAGCCUUUAAUUUAAAUGGAGAAUUCAUUAUUUAGACACGGAUAAGAGCCGGUAUUAAUUGAACAAAAUCGGUCAUGGAUGAAACAUUCGCGAGCCAAAAUUUUAAAACUAUAAUAUGCAUAUGUCUUAUGGUUUCCAAAUUAUACAAUUUUUUAUUAAGAUUACUUUAAAUAUAUUUUUUGACAAUGAACUUCAAAAUAUUUAUGGAAUAAUUGUUUCAAACAUAAUUAUUCUAUUAAAUUUCCUCUAUCUAUUGUAUACACUACAAUAACACAACAACAACAGAAAUAGUAUUCCACGUUUUAUUCAAUAUUUGUAUAGCUAGUCUCUAGUUCUAUAUAUAUUGUAUAAUCUAGCAAAAAUGAGAGUAAUUAAAAGGGUGUUUAGGAGUCAUGAGACUUACAGCGAGAGCUAUGAUCCCAGUGAUGAUGCCAGUUUUAACAGCCGUCGACAUGUAAGGCGAAGUAAAGACCAUAUCAGACACGGAGAGUGGAUUCAACCCUUUCUUCAGGUUCCCUAUCUGGUACAAUCAUACACUUCUUUUACUCUAUCAUCACUUUCCAAUCCGGACAAAAUAUAAAAAAUGUUCAAAAUGCCCAUAUAAGCCCACGUUUUGCUUCUUGUAUAUUUUUCCUCUACCCAUAAUAUUCUACCUAACGUUUCCCUUUUUAUAUUUUGGUUAAAUGUGUGUGUAUAUAUAUAUUAACUUGUCAGAUUUCAGUUAAAGGUAUACAUACCUGGCCUUAAUAAAUUGAAUAUUUUUUACUGUAAUAUUAAAAUAACUAGAUUGAAAACAUACCACUUGAACACCAUGUCUCUCAGCGUGAGUGAAGUAAACCAAGAGGCUUCCAAGAAUCACUGAGGUCAAAGGAGUCAUUGCCGCCACCCAAAAGAAUUUUGGUUUCUUCGUGCUCUGAUAAUCAAUUCGUCAUUCAGAAAACAAACACACAUUAACUAUAAUUACUUUUUCGAUUGUACAAAAUUUAAUUUUCUAUUAUUUAAUGCCUUAUAUAUUCUUUGUUAGAAAAAGAUUGAUAAAGACAAAGAGUAUAGAUUAAUGGAAUCGAAAUAUCAUUGAAGCGUGUUUUUGUUAAAAUCCGCCUUGUCGAAAAGAAAUGGAUUAAUCGAUAUAUUAAGGUAGAAUGAGAAAUAAUAAUACUUACGAAAUAUCUGGUGGAAAGAAGGAAGAAAAGGAAACCACAGCCGAGAACGCCACUCUCCCAUUUCCACUACACAACAAAUAAACAAACAGAACACACAUGUUUAAUAAUGUCUAAGUACAAUUAUUAAUUUGAUUAGGAGAAUAAUCACUGACAUUGGGAAUGAUAUGAUCACUGACAUUGGGAAUGAUAUAUUUGGAUGUAUUAGUGAAUAAUUAACGUAAGGAAUAAACAAACAGAAACACAUGUUUAACAAUGUCAGAAACCAUGUCUUCAUCCAUAGGAUUCCAAUAUACCCAAUGUCACCUGGUGAGUUUGGGAGAAGACGGAACGCAUGACGGAGAUAAUAUCAGUGGCUUCUGUGAAAUGUGUAAGUCCAAAUAUACCCUUAAGCUGUUGCAAGCUCACCACCGUCGCUGCUCCUCCCAUGAAUCCCACUAUUGUUGCAUGCGAUAGAAAAUCCACUAUGAACCCCAACCUGCAAAUUUUUUUUAGUUUUUUUCGUUAAUUUAAUUGUUUGUAGUUAAUGACUAUUAAUUAUUAGGUUGCCUCAUUAACACAUCAUGACCAAGUUAGCCAGUCUCAUCAUGUAGUGCUCCUAACCCUUUUCUACCUACCUAUACGUCACAGAAAUCAUCUCUCAUGUGCUUUUAAACUAAGUAGAAGUUUAAUAAAUUAAUUAAUCUUUAUCCCACUAUCAGGACUGCCCACUAUGACCACAUAAUAUAAACUGAUCAUGCCUAAAAGUAAAUACAUUUCGUUAAGAUUCUCUAUAGUUUUUUUUUUUAUUCUCUAUAGUUACUUCGCUUUGUCCCCCAUAGGCACGUUAAUCAGCAACUAUACAAGUUUACGUGAUGUAACUCGCCAUGACGAAUGUCACUCAUUACUCAUGGCCUAGUGCUUUCUAAAUUAUUUAUCAUGUUUUCUAUAUUUUUACGUACAAACAAAAUAAAAGCGAGUUAAUAUGUAAAAUAAAAGUUACUAGUAUUUGGUAAUAUAUAUUUUUAUGCCGGAAUCUUUGUUACACAUGCUUUGGAUCUAUAUAACUCCCAGUCUCCCAUUUUAAACUUCAGGUAGGCUGAUUUUAAGUAAAAAACAAAUCAUGUAAAUGGAAAUAAAUUAAAAACGAACCUGAAAAUGCCGAGGGAGGCUUCGAGAACGCCUGCGAAGAACGUGGCAGUGAAAGCAAGAUGAAGGUAGAGCUUAGGAUCUUUAUCAGCGUUAACUUCUUUGCUAAGCAUCGCACCUAUCAACAAAGACCCAACCGCCGUCGUCCCCACCGCCAAAUCCCUUGAACUCCCCAGCACCGCGUACACCAAUGGUGGAACAAAACUCGAGUCUAACCGCCACGGAAACAAAAAAAAACAAAAAAUUAGAUACUUUUGAAUAUGUAUAUGUGUAGUAUAUAUAUAUAUUUGAGUUGACGACAAGAGCAUAAAAUGCUGGAACCGAGGUUGUCGAAAUAACCGUUUUCAAAAAAAGAAGAAGAAGGUAUAACGCUUACAAAGGCCAAGAAUGGGAGGCAAGUUAGCGAGUUUAGCGUAACUAAUGCCCUGUGGGAUGGCUAGGCUAGCGAUGGUGAUACCGGCUAUGAGAUCUGACUUGAACAACGUGAGAUUGUAGCGUGGAGCCCAUUCACAUAUUGGGAAGAAGUAUUGGAGGCCUAGUACAACUUUUCUUGAUGCGUUCUGGUUCUUGAAUUGUCUGAAAGGAUCGUCUGGAAACAAAGUCUCCUUCACUGAGUACUGAAGUGACUUCAAGAACGGCUGAGGUUCCGGAGUCUCCACCGUGUGGUGGCGAAGGUGCGGCUCCUCCGCUCCUUGAGGAAAUGUGUAGUCAGCCGUUCCCAUAUGAAGACCGGUCGGUUUUGGAAGGUUUUUGUUGGAUUCUUUUUUUCUUUCUUUUUGGCGGCUGUAAGUGAGGAGUGAGGAGAAGAGCCAAGGUGGGUUCUUCUUUUUAUACUAUUUUUAGCAUAGUGUGCACUGUGCAUUAGUAAAUAAAUAAUUAUAAGAAAAUAAUACAAAGUACUAUCAAAAUAGAUCACCCAGUGAAACUGAGUUACCAAAUGAACCACUCGUAAUUAUUCCAGUUGUUUAUUUUCUGAAUUAUUAUUUUGAGUUGAGGCCAGCUAUACGAGGCCAAUAUAAUCAUGGACGCAGAUCUACCUGGUAUCCUAAGUUUUUUUAAUAUUCGUAAUUUUUUAUGGUAUGCUCUAUCUAGUUUAUCAUAUUUCAUUUCAUAUCAUACAAAAGAAACAUCAAGAGAGUAAGAAAAUAGAGAUGGAAGAUGGACGAAACACCGGCUCACGCAUAUAUGAGUCUGACUGUCAGAGUCUGAAUGUCAGAUGCAUGUCUUGUCCCGACACAGCACGCAAGAGCCAGAAAGCUGACGUUUCCACUUUCAGUCAUAUCUUCCAUUUCUACCCCUAGCUAACUCUACGACUACUGACUUCACUUCAUCAUCGUUCCCAUCCAUCUCACUACACCACUUUAUAAUGUAUGGCUCUGCCGACACUUUGGCAAUUAGCAGAUGGGUUAUUAACUAAUUUUAGUAUUAUGUUUUUUGGGUAAAAAUGUUAAGUAUUUAGUAUUAUGUUUGAUAUUUAUAAAUAUCCAAAUAUACAUAUAGUAAGGUAGAUUCUACCAGGUUUACGUCACAGGAUUUUGCGAUGUGGGAUAUUUUUGGAAAAGCUAUCGUGAAUGUGCCUAACGUUAGGAGUUGGAGAUGACGAUACAGCAACACCAAAUGGUCACAAUACUUUAGUCGGUGUUAGAUAUUAUACCUCCUUAUACACUUGUCAUUUACAAUGUUAUGUUCUUACUUUAUGUAAUUAUAAGUUUCUCUCUAACUGUUAAUUUUGCACCCAAAAAAAAAACUAACUGUUGAUUUUGGUAACGGAUCCAAACACAUGAAACUGAACGUUGCUUCAGUAAUGUCUUCGGAUUAACCGUUCCAAAUAUAAAAUAAUCUAAAGUUGACCAAAAGCUUGCGUUUCAGAUACUAACAUUUUGCAUAAGAACACAUACAAAGGUAGGAAAGUAAGAUACUAAAUAGUUGAGCCUAAUGCAUUUCCGUUUCUUUGUACGAAGAAGUGCGAUCACAGCUGGAUGGGAACGUGGUAAAUUAUUAAUUGACCAAAUUUAUUCAUUACUUGUUCAAGUUUUGAAUAAUUUCCAAAUUUUAGCAAAGAAAAAAAAAGUUUUGAAUGAUUUGGCCCUAUCUUCAAAUGUGUUUAUGACUUGUCUGUUUCCUGACCAAAAUUCAUUUGCAUGCUAAACAAUCAGCACCAAUCCAAAUAUUGCAAAAAAAAUAUUUUAUGACCCUAAGCAAAGAUAGACAAAUAAUAUGCUUUCUUUUUUUGCAACAAGAUAAAUUAUAUGCUCAUAUAGUGAAAAUUAUAACCAAAAAUGUAUAAUGGAAAGAAAAAAGAACACUACACAACCCAUGGGCCUUUAAUCAAUCGCUUAUGUAGCUUAAGUUACGGGCCGGCGCUGUAGACAAAGUAGAGGAGUAACAAAAAUCAUCAAUAUAAAGUUUAUCACCUGGUGCCAUCACCGUAGUAUUCUUGAUGAUCUCCCCGAGUUUUUUCCAUUAUUUUUAUAAAAUUAACUAAAUUACGUUUAAUUAAUAUAGUCUCGUUUAGUUAACUGAUUGUCCACCCGAUUAUGUUUAGUAUCUUUAACAAGUAAUCAAAGAGUCUUAACCACUAAAUCAAUUAUUCCUUGAUUUUUGAGAUAAAGUACCAAAUUACCAAUUAUAGUGAUACUAUAUACCAAUUAAUAUAGUCUCGUUUAGUUAACUGAUUGUCCACCCGAUCUGAAGGAUUUUGCUUUGGGAUUGGAGGUUGGAUGUUGUGGAUGAGAUCUCUUUGAGUCGAUUGAUGAUCUCCUCUGCAUGGUGAGUCUGAUAUGGGUAAAGUUCCCCUCGUGUUUAUGGUUUAGGAUGAUGGAUGAGGUCUCGAAUAGGUCGAUUGAUUCUCUCCAUGAAAUAGAAAUCAAGCGAGGAAAGAAUUUGCGUUGAAGUUGGUUGGUGUGUUGUUAGUGAGCCUAUUUCCCGGUGUUUUCCGGAGAUUGCCGUUUAGUUCCGGCGACGUCUUGGUCGGUGAAGACGGUGAAGUGCUUCCAAUACGUGUCGCUCCGUUCUUGUGCGGUGAACACGUUGACGUGACCUGUUACCUUUUCUUUCUCUGUUGUUUUUUUGGGUUUUAAGUGGGCCAUUGUUGUUGGUUUGAAUUUUUAUUUGUCUUGUGUUUAUGGUGAUCCAAAUCAACAAUAUCGACAUUUACUAUGGGAAAGAAUACAGAGAAUUGGAGUCUCUAGAAAUGGUCCUUGGCUUUUAGUUGGGGAUUUUAAUGAAAUUCUAAAUAAUACAGAAAAAGAUGGAGGUGUAGUACGGGAUGAAUCUACUUUUCAAGACUUUCGCAAUCUAUAUGUAGCCUGUGACUUACGAGAUUUACGUUCUACUGGGGACAAAUUUUCGUGGGUGGGUAAACGUAAAACACACGUUAUUAAGAGUUGUCUUGAUAGAGUGGUAGCAAAUUCAGAAUGGUUAUCUUUAUAUCCAGCAUCAGAAGCAGAGUUCCUUCGAUUAUCAGGAUCUGAUCACCGUCCGGUUGUUACUACCGUGUCUUUUCUUAAUCAAAGUCAUAAGAAGCCAUUCCGGUUUGACAAGCGUUUAUUCAAAGUCAAAGAUUUUAAAAAGUACGUUGAUUCGGGCUGGAAUUCUUUGGGUGGAGGACGACAAAUCCUAAUUGGAAAGAGGAUAGCAGAUUGUAGAAAAGCAAUGUCAGUUUGUCGUCAGGAAAAUAAAUUAAACGCUGCUAAAAGAAUAGAAGAUUUGCAAUAUGAGUUAGAUUUUGUUUUAACGUCUUCGGGUCCUAUUCGGAGUCAAAUUCCAAGAAUAAAAAAAGAGCUCGCGCAAGCAUAUCGAGACGAGGAAACCUACUGGUACCUCAAAAGUCGAAAUAAUUGGUUAAGUUGUGGUGAUCGUAAUACUAAAUUUUAUCACGCCACAACUAAAGCAAGAUUUUCUCGAAAUAAAAUCCAUGCCGUUCAUGACGUAAAUGGUUUCGUAUAUAAGGGAGAUGAGGCUAUUGGUAGACAUGCUGAAUGUUUUUUCAAAGAAGUGUAUCGUGGAGGGAAUACAUCACUACUUCCAUCUGUUUUUAAAGACUUCAAGCCAACGGUGACUGCCGAUAUAAAUGAUGAUAUUACUAGGGAUAUUUCUAACGAAGAAAUACAUGCUGCAAUUUGUCACAUUGGUGCAGACAAAGCUCCAGGCCCGGAUGGGUUAACGGCUCGGUUUUAUCAACAAUGCUGGGAUAUCGUAGGAGAAGCAAUUUGUGAGGAAGUUAAAGGUUUUUUUGCUACAGGGAAAUUAUCGCCAGGACUUAACCAUACAAAUAUAUGUAUGAUACCAAAAAAUAAGUGUCCUCAAACACUGUCUGAAUUUCGUCCAAUUGCUCUCUGUAAUGUCCUCUACAAAAUCAUAAGCAAGAUUUUGGUUUUUCGGCUGAAAUCUUCCCUUGACAAAAUUGUCUCGGAUUCACAAGCAGCUUUUAUUCCAGGUCGAUUAAUCAAUGAUAAUGUUAUGAUUGCCCAUGAGCUUAUGCAUUCUCUUAAAUCAAGGAAACGAGUGUCUCAGACAUAUAUGGCUGUUAAGACAGACAUCACUAAAGCUUAUGAUCGUGUUGAUUGGAAUUUUCUCGAAGGUACCUUACGAGCAUUUGGAUUUGCAGAAAAAUGGAUAUCUUGGGUAAUGGCUCUGGUCAGUACAGUUGAAUAUUCAGUGCUUAUUAAUGGGGUUCCUCAGGGACAUAUCAUUCCACAGCGGGGGUUACGUCAAGGAGAUCCAUUAUCUCCAUAUCUAUAUAUUCUCUGUGCUGAUAUUUUGAGUCAUCUAAUUGAUGUUCAAGUUCGGCGUAAGAAAAUAAAUGGUAUUAAAAUUGGACAAGGGACUCCAUCUAUUACUCAUCUAUUUUUUGCGGAUGACUCUCUCUUUUUCUGCAUUGCUAAUCAAAAAAAUUGCAAAGCUCUAAAAGAAGUGUUUGAUAUCUAUGAAAAAUGCUCUGGUCAAAAAAUAAAUCAAGACAAAUCAGUAAUAACUUUUGGUUCUAAGGUUCAUGGUUCUAAACAAGACUCCUUGAAACACAUCCUCGGAAUCUCAAAUCAUGGUGGUGGUGGGAAGUAUUUGGGUCUACCAGAGCAGUUUGGACGGAAAAAAAAAGAAAUGUUUAGUACAGUUGUUCAACGUGUUAAACAGAGAACGUCUCAUUGGAGUACUAAAUUUCUUUCACCAGCUGGUAAAGAAGUUAUGAUCAAAUCGGUUGCCGUAUCAACCCCUAUUUAUUCUAUGUCACACUUUAAACUCCCUGUUGCAACAACACAAGAGAUAGAUGCCAUUUUAAUGAGAUUCUGGUGGGGAAAAAAUGAUCUUAAAGGUCUACCAUGGGUGGCUUGGAAAAAACUACAGUAUACGAAGAAAGAAGGAGGACUUGGAUUCAAAGAUUUACCCAAGUUUAAUGAUGCUCUGCUUGCCAAACAAGCAUGGCGAAUCUACUCAAAACCAAACUGUCUUUUUUCCAAACUUUAUAAAGCCCGAUAUCUUAAAGGAAAACAACUUCUAGAAGGGAAAACAUGUCGUAAGCAGUCAUAUGGAUGGAAAUCUUUGCUUGCUGGUAUUGAUGUUUUAAAGAAAGGAUGUAGCUACAUUGUGGGAAAUGGCAAAGAUAUACGAGUUUUUCAAGAUAACUGGUUACCUGUUAUUCCACCUCGGCCUGCUUCUACAACAAUGAAUUGUGAUUUAUUCGUUAGUGAUUUGAUCACAACUUCACCUUACAAACAUUGGAAUCCGGUGGCACUACAGUCCUAUUUAUGCGACGAGGACCAACGUCUCGUAAGCCAGAUAUAUUUAAGCCAAACAGAAAAAGAAGAUAAGUUGAUUUGGAGUCAUACACGAGAUGGAAACUAUACGGUGUCUUCUGGGUAUAAGGUUGCUAGGCAUGCACCAGAUUAUUUGAUUGAAGCCCCUCCAAUUCCUUAUGGUGAUCCUAUUCUAAAGGAUAAGGUUUGGAAAUUAAAUAUAAUGCCCAAACUUAACCAUUUUCUUUGGCGUAUUCUAUCAAAGGCUAUUGGAACAACUACAAGACUAAAUUCAAGAGGAAUGAAUUUAGAUCCUAUCUGCCAGAGAUGUGGAUUGGCAGAAGAGACAAUCGACCAUUGUUUUUUCACGUGCCCCGAUUCAAUAUGUAUUUGGAGACUUUCAAAUCUACCUUUUAUGGGUCCAUUAUUAACAAAUGAUUCUAUGGACAAUAAAAUCGGGUUUCUGCUGAAUAUUCAGGGCGUACAAUCUCUUUCUCUUUAUCAACGGUUAUUACCUUUUUGGUUACUAUGGCGUAUAUGGAAAAAGAGGAAUUUCCUUCUUUUUAGGAAACAAAUACUGCAACCAAAUGUCAUAGUGGACAAUGCUUGCGCUGACGUAAGAGAAUGGAUAUCUCAUUUAUGUUCAUCAUCUCCUACAGUAAACAAUACAAGUGUAGGUUCUUCUUUGCAUGCCUUAUCAUCAUGGAAACGUCCAGAUCAGGGUUUUCUAAAAUGUAAUUACGAUGCUGCAUAUGAUUUAAAUUCGAACCAAGUUCGAGGUGCAUGGAUUAUCCGGAACUGUUAUGGUCAUCCUUAUAUGUGGGGUUCGGCUAAUUUGGGGUUCGCUAAUUCCAGUUUAGUUGCAGAGACAAUGGCUUUACUGGUGGCAAUGCAGAAUGCUUGGAUAGGAGGAUAUAGUGAUAUGAUUUUCGAAGGGGACUCAGAAAUCUUGGUUACAACGAUUAAUGAUCAUCUAACAAAUCCAACCAUUCAGAAUCUUCUUGAAGAAAUUAAUAGAUUGAAGAAUAGGCUUUCUACAACAACAUUUACUUUUGUCAAACGUAAUGGAAAUCAAGCCGCGCAUGAAAUUGUUCGCCAUGGUCCAGCAAAUUCUAUUUUUGAAAAUUGUAAAGUUUAUCCACCUAAGUGGUUAACUCCAACUUUGUAUUCAGAUAUUAUGCUUUCAUAUUAAUAAAAUUUAAGUUUGUCGAAAAAAAAAAGUGGGCCAUUGUUUUGGCCUCUGAUCUUUUAUAUGUAUGCCGUAUGGGCUUGUAUGGUUUUUAAAUGACCUUGUUUUUGGACUUGUAUGUGAAAUAUUCUCUACUUAAUAAAAUAAUAGUGAAAAAAAAAAAAGAAUCAAGCAAUCGUGGUAUCAACUCUUCUCCUUCUUCUUCCAACAUUGGAUAUUACCUGACGAAAUCACUUUGGGAGAUCUAUGAAAUGCCUUGGUUGCUGCUGGAAGUCGAUGCAUGUGUACUAAUACUGUUGAGGACUAACCAAUGUAUGUUUUGAUAAUAACAUAAAAAAUACUCAAAGUCUAAGCCCCAGUUUACUUAUAUAAUUAUAUGAAAUACUCGGUAUUUAAAAAAAAACAAAAAAAAUUACUCGGUAUUUUAACCGGUUGAAUCCAAAACUUUUUGUAUUAAAAAGUAGACCCGAUCCUGAGUGUGAUGAUUACCUGCGGAAUGAGUGGACCAACAAGCACUUCUUGGUCAGAAAAGAAAGGGAAGAAAUCGAUAUCAUGAAGUUAUACAAUGAAUAUCGAUUGUAUUCCCCAUAAUUUUAAGAUGUAAGACCAUCUUCAAUAGUUACUCUAUUUUUUCGUAUAAAAUAAAGUAACUCUAUUAUAAUAGAGUUAGAUGUUGUUUUAAUAAUAUUCUAUUUUAAAGUAAAAAACAGAGCAGUGAACAAAAAAUAAAAAAAAUUACUUUAUAUAUAGGAUACAAAAUAGAUUUACACUAUUAUAAAUUAGAAAAUAAAGUACCAAUAAAGCAUUUUUACUUUAAAUUCUAUUUUAGAGAAAGAAAUAUAGUGGGGGGUUAGAAAUGCCCUAAUCAAAUCUUCUUCAGAUCCCUUCUACUUUAACCUAAAAGGAGAUUCCGAUUACAUGUAUUGUAGCAUUGGACCCACUGA